UCCACUCCAUCUCUCUCAAUCUAGUAGAAACUAGAAGAUCUAUUUCUACCUUACAUUGGUUGCUACGCCUAAAAAGAAAUAUUAUUUAGAGAAGAGGUUUUCCUUCGAGGGCACCCCUCAAUCUCUAUGAUAAUUUCUUGUCUUCUCCAGGGCCAGGGGGGCCUUGCUUAUAUAGUCCUCCCCUUCUAUGCGUUUUUGGGUCGAUAGGUGAGGUGGUACUAUGUUUUCCUUGAUCCAAUAGGUCGGUGGAACAUCCCGAGCGAAAGAGUCCUGAUUUGGCUCCAACAGAGGGGUGGGCGCCCAGGCUACCAGGGCGGGCGCCCUGGGCCUGGCCCAAUUUCGCCUCCGCUUCGGUCUCGUGGCUUCUGGAGUCUUCUAGAUGAUGUAAAAUCGUGCGGUGCGUUUAUAUCUCUAUGUAAUCCCGACAUGUGGGCCUUUCUUCCUUAUUUCCUGAUAACCCCCUGUGGAAACAGAUAAACAACAAAACUCGUGGAAUUCUGUCAGAUCAAACCCUAAUUCUAGGUGUUGGUUGCAUUUGGAUCCUUUUCUUUGUUUAUUUGAUAAUUAAAUUUGAUACUUAAGGACCGUCAACAAACUCCCCCAAGCUUACCUCUUGCUCGUCCCUGAGCAAGGAUAGACUUAGCUAUGGAUCAUAAAUUGUUGCAAUAUUUUUAAAAAUUGAUGUUACACAUGCUUUUUAAAUAAAAUCUCAUCUCUGAGUUAGAGUAAACUAUCAAGACUUAAAACUUACUUUACCUUCACCAUGGGACUUGUAACUGUCACUUCUGUCUUGAGUGGUUAAAAGAUAGAAUAGUCUAGCCAAGUGCCAUGUCUCUUAUUCUUGAUCAGCUAUAGCUCUAGAGUUUUUGCAGAUUUUAAAACUCAGAGAUUCCUUGUAUGAUUCUCUCAGAUCUCUCUUUUGUGGUAUUUUUGGAUCCUUACCAAGGCAGUGAUGGUAUAUGCCUUCUCUCAAGAUAUGUAGUAUUUGUGGUAUGAAGCAUAGUGACAUUGUCUUCUCUCUCACCCUACUCUAAUAAGGCUUUAAUAUCUGGAGCUCAUAGGUGGGAGAUAAAAUAUACAUACUCACAAGACAUUUAUUGCAUAGUCAAACCAUGGAUCCAAAGAAACAAAUCAAUAAGCCAAAUCAAGAUGUGCAUGUGUGGCGAAUGAAUGGUGUAUGGUGAUGAUGGUGAUAACAAUGGUGAAAGUCUAAUUUUACUUUUGCUCUUUGAGGGGAUACAUACCUUCCUUGCUUUUGAAACUUUAUGAGGAGAAUGAGAUGCUCUAUAUUUUCCCCUUUUUUUUCUCAGGUGGGUAGCCUUGUACCCCUAAUUCUACUGUCGGACACUUGUCCAUUUUUACCUCUCGUCUCACUUUUUCUUUUCUUCGAGGUUCCGAGCACUUGCCCCUUUUUAUUUCCUCGUAUAUUAUUUAUUUUUUUUUCUUCUUUUUUUUUCUUUUUUUUUUCUUUCUAGAGCACUCAUCUCCUGAAAUAAUGUAGCAAGUGGUAGUAACCAAAAUAACUGGAGCAUUUAUUUCACAGGGAAUAACAGGGAUAGGAAAAUGUUUUUUGGCUUAUUCUCUCUCGGAUUAGGAGUAGAAUAAUUUUGGGUAAAACUGGAGAUGGAAAUGAGUGGAUAUAUGUGGAUGGUACUUCCGGAGUAGAAGUAGCAUAUAUGAGUGAACGUGCAAGUGAAUCUUGAUUUAACCACAUGACAAGCUCCUAAGGGUCUACACAACUUGACUACACUCAAUGCUCAUAAGCAGUAAAUAGUAAAUGUGUGGCUCAAGGUCUAGCAAGCAUGUAUAUAUGGCUGUGGUAGGAAUUUAAACUCUCAUCAUACAGGAACUCAUCAUGCAAUAUUUUAAAGAUUUUCAAAGAUAAAAUUCUCUAGAAUUCUACAUCUCUAGGAACAGAUAAACAGCAGCUCAACCUUCCCAUAUCGUAUCCGUUAACAACUUAGACUUCAGAUCAAGUUUUCAUCCCACAAGUUUAGAUCUAGAGCAAGCUUUAAAUUAUAACAGUUAUGUCUAAACUUGAGAGAGAACUUUAAAUUUGCAAAUUAGGCAGAGCAACUAUUCAUCAUAUCCAUGCUUAAGUUUUAUUAGAUACAGAUUAGCAAAGCCACUUUAUUUAAUUAUUAAACAUACUAAGCAAAAUAUAUAAGCAUAAAAUCUUUAUUCGGUUUUUUUUAUAGUUAUGUGUAUUUAUAUUCUAAUAUAGUAUAAGUAUAAAGAUAGAUAGAAAUACUUAUCGAGAUACAUGGGGGUGCUCUCCCCCAAGCUGAAUUUUGACGUAAUUUCUCUUGAUGUAGCUAGCAGGUGGCAGAGGUGUGUUUGAAAGUCAGCAGUAUUUUGACAGCGAUUAGAAUGUCCUCCGUCUGCUAGUCUUCUUAAUUCUUAAAUUCUAUGGAGCUCAAAUAGACAACAAAGCUUGUGGAACUGAUUAAGUGUUAGCAUAAAUAUCUAGCCUUUAUCAUGUUGAGACUUCUUAAUAAAUAUUACUCCCUGUUUUUAUAUUUUUGUUUUUAUAAAGCAGAAAAAUAUUUAUUUUAUUUUUAUGCCACCACAGUGAAUGUACUUAUGGGUUUUAUGCCACUCGUCUACUCACAUGGGGCUUACAGUUUUUUAACAUUUAUUUUCUUUUCAAGAUGAACCUGAUUAACUAAGCAAACUAUUGAAUGGAAAAGGAUAACUACCAAGUUUACCUCUUGGCAAGGCGUUCGGUAUUUUUAAGUCCUCCGAAUGGGACUCCUUGUGUUUUCUUAGUCGUCCUGGGAUUCGCUAGGUGGCAUAGUCGGUGAUUCCGGCGGCGCCUCUUCGUCGUGUAUAACUAUCUUCUUUCUCCACACCUGACUCGGUGCUACGGUCUCCUCAGGACAGUUCUGUUCAAGCCAUAUGUGUUCAGAUCUUAUCAUAUCUCCUUCGUAGUCUACCCAUCCGUCUUUGAUGAUCUGCCUCCUCUGGUUGCGGUUGCGUUGUCUUCUUCUUAUCCUGACCUGCUUAGAAUCUUCAACUAUAUAGUUAGAAUCAUUAAAGUAGUGGCGUACCUUCUUAGAGGGGAAGUACACGUGGACUUCUCCGGUUCCAAUGUAGAUGAUAACUUUGAUAGUGUUGAGGAAUGGUCUUCCAAGGACGAUGGGUAGAUCGUACUCGUCUUCUCCCAUGUCAAUGAUCUGAAAAUUAUCUGGAGCUGAAUGUAUGUUGGUUGUAGGGGCAUGGUUCCAUGUAGGAGCUGAUAAGUGACUGCAGCCAUUAUGUAGUCGUCAGAUCCGGUGUCGUAGAGUGUCUUCUUGAAAAGAGUAUUUGUUGAUUGUGCACUUAAUGCUUGGAACACCGGGGUCGUCCUUCUUGAUUAGGAAAGGUGACUUGAGUCGACGAUCUUGACCUCCUUGAGCUGCAGUGACCAUCUUAGCUGACUCGGUCCAUAUUUGCUUGUUCCUGUUCCUCCUGUUGGUCCUCUUCCUUGGUUCAUGUCGGGAUUGCUCUGAAGUUUGUGUAGUCUUGUUCUCGAAGGAAAAUCUCCUUUUCCCCCUUGAUGUAGAAACUGAUCUUGGCAGCAUUAACGUAGAUGAAAGCUCUGGUGUUUAGGAAUGGCCUCCCUAAGAUAAUGGGUGCCCUCUCCUCAGUACCAGUCUCUAUCACCACGAAGUCUACUAGAGUGUACAAGGUACCAACUCGGACGCAGAGGUUCUUCAAUAUUUCCUUUGGGAAACUGAGUGUCCGAUCUCCAACCCUGGGCAUAAUGUUGACGCUGGAGCCAAAGUCGCAGAGUGCUUCUGGGAAGUCCACCAUGCCGAUGGAGAUCGGGAUGACGGGGCGUCCUAGAUCACCUCUCUGAGUAAUUAGGCCUCUGUUGAUUCCAACCUUGAUGUUGUUGAGGACGGUUGUAGUAAUAGUUGUUAUUGUUGUUGAUGUAGUUCACGUCCUCAAGCAUCUCAGGGCAGUGAUUGCCUGAGCGUCCAGUAUCUCCAGUGUGUUUGUGCUCGUAGAUCCUAGUUCUUCACUUGGUGGAAUCUGGGAGUUGUAAAACUCCUUCAUAUUAUGCUCGAAGUGUUCCUGCUCAUAGAGACAAUGUAGAGAUCAAGUGCAUGGGCCCUGUUGGUGGAAAACACCAACAGAACCAAAAGUGUAUUUGUUCUUCUCUAACCUUAAGCAUAGUGAGCAAGACAAAAUUGAUGGAUCAUGAGUGUAGCAUUUGUCAGAUCAGAUGGCUCAACCUAAUGGAAAGAUAAUCUAUUUAUAUUUAUGUUUUGUUUAUAUCUUCCAAAGAUUGCAUGUGCUAUACUUUAGCUUAUAUGAUUAGGAGUGUGGGAUCACGAAGGUAGUACUAAGAACAAAGAUUAAAGGACUAAACAUGUUGAAUUAAUUGGUUUGAUUAAUUUGGAGCUACAAAUCAUACAUGUUUGUCUCUUUAUUUUAUGUGAAUGCUAGAACCAAGGAGAAGCUUAUAAAAGUGAUAGUCAAGUACCUUAAAAUGUUACCUUACUUGAAGAGUGACGGUACAGUAUCACCUUGUGGAAGCUUUCCUUUCUUAGCGGUUGUGCAUCGUGUUUGUGGCACCCUCCAUGGAUCAUCUCUUUAUGAUGAAUGAGCUAUGUCCUUCUUGUGCAAAUUGUUAAACUUCAUGUGUCUCCUUUACCUCCAAUGAGUUUGUAUCUCAGGACUUCCCAGGUUGAUAUUGAAAGUUUUCCUACAGGGGUUAGUCCAAUAAAAUAUCCCAUAUCUACUAUAGCAUACUAUCGGCUCAAAAAUCAACCUAGACACCAUGUCUAAUUUGAUUUAGGAGGGCAUUUUAACCUAAGCACCAUGCUUAAUUUAAAAAUCCUUUGGAAGUAAGAUCAUCAUUCCUAAACUAAGCACCAUGCUUGAUUUAAGAGAUAAAUGAAACUACUCCAAACCUAAACAUAUACUAAAGCAAAUAAAGGUAGCAUGAGAGCAUUUAUAGCGAUCUACUCAAGUGGAGGUGAAGUAGUGUAAUUAGUACUUAACAAAUUGAGCAUCUCUCAAAGGUAGGGACAACCAACGUAGCAACAUGGCAAAUGAUGUUUUUAUGUAAAGUACUCCCCCAAGCUUGAAUUUUACAAAAUUCAAGUUUGGAUGAAUUUAAUUCAAUGUUGUGUGAUGGUUGGUUGGACAUACCUUGUGCUUGUCAUUCAUCCGAUCUUCUUGCUCCAAUCCUGGAAAGGUUAGUGACAAGAAUACCCGAAGGAAUAUUUCUACAAUUAUCUUUAUAUGCUCAAUACACAAGGCAAUGUUGCAAAUAAUUAGAAGUGCUUGUUUUUGGACACUAAGCUCGUCCUUGGGAAACCAUCAAUUAACUCAACGAGAUCUGCAAUAUUUAUUAUAGACAUAUGCAUCGACAACCGCUCUUUUAAAGUUUUUAUAAAUAGAAAAGAAGAGAGGGUUGGAGAUCUCAAAUGUGAUAAGGAUGGAGAGACUAAUUGAUUGGAGAGAUGUUUUAUAUGAGCAAGGACUGGGUAAGGUAUUUAUGAAAUAACUUCCAUGCUCACUGUUGUUUCUCUCAUUCUCAAACUCCAAGGAUGAUUCUUCAUGAAUGCUAAAAAUUCCUCUAGGAUUGUCUCUCAAGUUUGUUUUAUCUAUCCAUUUAAUGGUGAUAGCACAUGGAUUUUUAAUGCCCUCUAGCCAUUGAUGUUGCUCUUCUCGAUCCUCCUUCUUAUGCAUGGGAUGUCUAGAGAGAUUUAUAGGAUCAUCGGGAGGUUCAAGAGAAAGAGAAUAGUAGAAAUUGUUAAGCUCAAGGAUGGGUUGGAUAGCCGAAUCAUGGGAUUGAAAUGUUUGGAAAUUGGCUAUUAAAACUUCCUUUCCUCGUCUGGGAGAUGAUUCCUUCUCUAUCUCUAAGAUUUUUCUAUGAAGACUAGUACAGGAAGGAUGUCCACAAAUGAAGACAUACCUUCCUUUACUAAUAGAUAAAGAAAGAAGGACUCUACCAAAGGUUAUAUGAUUAAGACCAAUGUGAAAAUAUCGAGAAAAAACAUGGUCUUGUAGGGCUAGGUCUAAACCAGAAUUUAUAAAAAGAUUAACAGAUUCCCUAGCUGUAGCUAAAAGUGCAUUAUCUUUUUGAUUAAAAGAUAGGACCUCGGCUAUAGAAAAGGGUUGGUUUUGACCUAUUGCAAUCAACUCCGGACACAGAUCAUAAUUAGGGGCAGGACGUGUUGACUCCCAUGGUCUAUGGCUGGUCUCCGAAGGUGCAAAGAAUUCAGUAAUAGGUAUGGAAUAUAAGUUAUCCAUAAAGAUAAAAAUAAAAAGAUAAAAGAAUAAAAGUAUAAAAGUAUAAUACAAGAUAAUAGCAAGACUCAAAGUUAUCUCAGCAAACCGUCUUUCUCCCCGGCAACGGCGCCAGAAAUGCUUGUUGAUAUUUGGUAACGCAAUAAGGAAAUGAUCCGCAAGCGCACGGAUAUCGGUGAGCAUUUCACCCGGGAGGUUUUCCAGAGUAUCGUAUUUAUAUUUUUACCACUGGGAGAAAGGGUGCAUCUAACUAACCAAAUCUAUUGCUACUAUCCCUUUAGGCUACAAAGAAUGUCUCUCGAUGUGAGUGAUGUAUAGAGAAGACUGCAACCGUAGUCUCGUUCUAACCUUGGUAAGGAUGAUCUACUGUUCUAUUGGGGAGGCUCACGGAAUCUAGACAACACAAAGGAUGUUCGACCCGCACCUUUAACCCUACCCGUCCUGCUAACGAGAUGUGAUCUACAAAGGUAACUCGGAAAUGUCACGUUCCUCGCUACUACCACGGUCCAGCUAGUCAGGGGAUAUCUAUGAGUACCCUAGCCUAAACACCACGUUUACGCUAACAAGUGAUUACUCUAAUACUCAACCGGAAGAGGAUUAAAGUAAACUCAUAAACCAAAGAACAAUAAAACAAGAACUUACUAGUAUUAGAAGUCGAAUUACUGAAGAAUCUUAGAAGCAAGCCUCGGGUUAGGAGACUUGAUCCCGUAGGUACAACUCGGAGUAGACACCGAUAGGCCGGCCUUCCUCCGAUCCACACCUCCACUCCAUCUCUCUCAAUCUAGUAGAAACUAGAAGAUCUAUUUCUACCUUACAUUGGUUGCUACGCCUAAAAAGAAAUAUUAUUUAGAGAAGAGGUUUUCCUUCGAGGGCACCCCUCAAUCUCUAUGAUAAUUUCUUGUCUUCUCCAGGGCCAGGGGGGCCUUGCUUAUAUAGUCCUCCCCUUCUAUGCGUUUUUGGGUCGAUAGGUGAGGUGGUACUAUGUUUUCCUUGAUCCAAUAGGUCGGUGGAACAUCCCGAGCGAAAGAGUCCUGAUUUGGCUCCAACAGGGGGGGCGGGCGCCCAGGCUACCAGGGCGGGCGCCCUGGGCCUGGCCCAGUUUCGCCUCCGCUUCGGUCUCGUGGCUUCUGGAGUCUUCUAGAUGAUGUAAAAUCGUGCGGUGCGUUUAUAUCUCUAUGUAAUCCCGACAUGUGGGCCUUUCUUCCUUAUUUCCUGAUAACCCCCUGCGGAAACAGAUAAACAACAAAACUCGUGGAAUUCUGUCAGAUCAAACCCUAAUUCUAGGUGUUGGUUGCAUUUGGAUCCUUUUCUUUGUUUAUUUGAUAAUUAAAUUUGAUACUUAAGGACCGUCAACAAUAUCCUCGACAUUUGUCUAGUACUACUUCAUAGUCUAGCAAAGUUUAUUUCAUGUAGAGUAUUUGUGCACAACAAGCACCGGCGGCAAUGUAUAUUGCCUUGGCCGUUGACAAGGCAACACUCUUUUGUUUCUUUGACAUCCAAGAGACAAGUGAUCUACCUAGGAAAUGGCACCCUUCGGAUGUGCUUUUUCUAUCAAUUCGGCACUCGGCAUAAUCCGAAUCGGAAUAGCCUACAAGUUGGAAUCUUGCACCUUUGGGAUACCACAAACCUAGGCAAGGUGUGUAUUUUAGAUACCUAAGAAUUCUCUUGACGACAAUCAAGUGAGAUUCCAUAGGCAUUGCUUGAUAUCUAGCACACAUACACACACUAAACAUGAUAUCGGGCCUAGAUGCGGUGAGGUAGAGUAGAGUUCCUAUCAUGGAGCGAUAGAGAGUCUUGUCAAUUGGGUUACCUCCCUCAUCCAAGUCGAGAUGCCCAUUUGAUGCCAUGGGAGUCUUGAUUGGCUUGCAAUCCAUCAUCUUGAAUCUCUUGAGAAGAUCUUGAGUGUACUUCUCUUGAGAGAUGAAGACUCCUUCCUUCAUUUGCUUGACUUGAAACCCUAGGAAGAAGGAUAGCUCGCCAAUCAUGGACAUCUCAAACUCCUUGGACAUCAAAUCACCAAAUUCCUUGCAAAAAUCUUCAUUAGUAGAGCCAAAAAUAAUAUCAUCAACAUAAACUUGGCAAAUGAAGAUUUCCCCAUUCAUUUUCUUGGUGAAGAGUGUUGUGUCAACUUUCCCAAUCUUGACGCCCUUCUCGAUGAGGAAGUCCCUAAGCCUCUCAUACCAAGCUCUAGGAGCUUGCUUGAGACCAUAGAGUGCCUUGGACAACCGGUAGACAUGCUUGGGGUACCUAGGGUCUUCAAAACCGGGGGGUUGCUCAACAUAGACAAGCUCAUUAAUAUAGCCAUUCAAAAAAGAACUUUUCACAUCCAUUUGAAAUAACUUGAUAUCAUGACUAGAUGCAUAUGCAAGUAGGAUAUGGAUUGCUUCAUGUCUUGCCACCGGUGCAAAGGUUUCACUGAAGUCAAGACCUUCCACUUGUGAAAAGCGUUUUGCCACAAGUCUUGCCUUGUUGCGCACCACUUUGCCUUGAUCAUCCUUCUUGUUCCGGAAGACCCACUUUGUUCCAAUCACUCUUGCAUCUUUGGGUCGCUCUUCAAGUGUCCAUACUUGGUUGCGCGAGAAGUUGUUCAACUCCUCUUGCAUGGCCAUGAUCUAAUCUGCAUCAUGAAGAGCUUCCUCUAUAGUCUUUGGUUCAUCUUCAGGAGACACAAAAGCGUGAUGUUCAAUAAAUAAAGCAUGUCUAGAACGAGUAGUUACACCACGUGAUGGACUCCCGAUGAUGAGAUCCUGAGAGUGAUCUUGGAGGAGAUGUGAUGCUCUUCUUGGCACCACUUGAGGGGUUGUUGGGGAGCAUCAACAUCUUGUGCUUGUGCCACCGCUUGCUCAUGAGUGACUUGAUUGUCGUCAUGAGGAUCUCUCACAUCCUUGUCUUCAUCUUGUGGUACAUGUGAGGUGGAAGGUGGCUCAAUAACUUGCACAUCAUCAUCAUCUUCUUUUGGCUUGAUGUCUCCCACCGGCAUGUUCUUCAUGGCAUCCCUCAAUGGUUCACCACCUACAUCAUCAAGAUUAUCACUUGCUCCUUGGGAGCCAUUAGUUUCAUCAAGUUCAACAUCAAAUGUUUCUUGAACCAUGUUUGUGGCAUGGUUAAAGACCCUAUAUGCCUUGGAAUUUGAUGAAUAGCCAACCAAGUAGCCAAUGUCACAUCUUCUUUGGAACUUUCCCAAGUGUUGGCGCUUCUUGUAGAUGUAGCAUUUGCAUCUAAACACUCUAAAGAAUGAGACAUCGGGCUUCUUCCCAUUGAGCAAUUCAUAUGGUGUCUUCUCUAGCAACUUGUGAGGAAAGAGCCGGUUUGAAGCAUAGCAUGCGGUGUUGAUUGCCUCGGCCCACAUCUUCUCCGAAGUGUUGUACUCAUCUAGCAUUGUUCUUGCCAAGGUGAUCAAUGUCUGGUUCUUUCUUUCUACAACCCCAUUUUGUUGUGGUGUGUAUGUUGAGGAGAACUCAUGCUUGAUUCCGACUUCAUCACAAUACUCUUCAAUGUUGGUGUUGUCAAACUCCUUGCCAUUGUCACUUUUAAUUUUCUUGAUCUUGACUUCAAAUUGAUUUUGGGCAUUCUUUGCAAACUUCUUGAAUAUGGAUGCAACUUCGGCCUUGUCUUGCAAGAAAAAUGUCCAAGUGUACCGGGAGAAAUCAUCAACUAUGACCAAGCAAUAUUUGUUGCCUCCAAGACUAGCAUAUGUGGUUGGUCCAAAUAGAUCCAUGUGAAGUAGCUCAAGCACUCUUGAAGCAGAGAGAUAGGCCUUGGUUGGAUGAGUGUUUGCAACUUGCUUGCCCGCUUGACAUGCACUACAAAGCUUGUCUUUUUCAAAUGUAACAUCCUUCAAGCCUCUAAUCAAUUCUUUCUUCAUCAACUUCUUGAGUGUACCCAUUCCAACAUGUGCUAACAUUCUAUUCCACAACCACCCAAGUGAAGUCUUGGUGAAUAAGCAAGUCUUGACAUCAACUUCAUCGGAUGAGAAAUCAACUACAUAUAAGUUGUUGUGUCGGAAGCCUUUGAAUAUCACUUCAUUGUCAUCUUCCUUGGUCACAAUUACUUCCUUCUUCUUGAAUAGGCAUUCAAAUCUAAGAUCACAAAGUUGUCCAACCGAGAGCAAGUUCAAACUCAAUAAUUGCACAUAGAGCACAUUGGUGAUGGAGUUGUCAUUUGAUAUAGCAACCUUUCCUAGUCCCUUGACCUUGCCUUUUGAAUUGUCACCAAAUGUGAUCUUCUCUUGGUUGUCAACAUCUUCAUCAAGAGAGGUGAACAUCCGGGGAUCUCCGGUCAUAUGUUGAGUGCAACCACCAUCAAUUACCCAAUGUGAUCCACCGGUCUUGUAGUUCACCUACACACAAGAUAUCAAGCUUGAGAUUUAGGGACCCACAUUUGCUUAGGACCCUUGACCUUCUCUACUAGUUGCUUUGGCACCCAAAUCUUCUUUGGCCUUUGCUUGUUUGGUGGCCCCAUGAAGCUAACCUUGACCUUGCCACUCUUGUCUUUCCUUACAAUGUAGUGAGCAUUGAAGGCAAAUGGUCUUGCAUGCUUGGGCAAGGGUGGUGGUAGUGGUGCCUUACACUCAUGAGCAAAGUGUCCUUCUUGACCACACUCAAAGCAUCUCUUUGGCUUUGGCUUGCUUGGAUGAUCAUGAGUGGCUAGUGACUUGAUGAGCUUUGUUUGAUGAGCCUUGUAGCCAAUCCCACUCUUGUCCAUCUUCAUCACGGUGUUCAUGAAAAGCUCACUUUGAAGGUCCUUCCCCUUUGUGAACUUUGCUAAUCCCAUGCUUAGGUGUUCCUUCUCUUUCUUGAGCUUGCUAUUCUCUUGAGUUAGCUUCUUGAUGAUUGGGUCAUUGUUGCUAGCUAACUCAUCCAAGAUGAAUGUCUCAUCUUCUUCUUGCUUGUCAUACAUCAAACCAAGUUUGAGAUAUUGAUUAUCUUCCUAGAGUAACUUGUUCUCAUAUGCAAGCUUCUUGUCUUGAUCAAGUGACUCAAUCACAAUGAUCUUGUGCUUAGCUUUGUCUUGCAACUCUUUCUUGAGCAUGACAAUUUCAUCUUUGAGCUUGAUAGUGUCCUCAUAGCUCUCGGCCACUACCACUUUCUUGCCCUUGCAAUCAACACAUUUGCUUGUGCUCUCCACAAGUAAGUCAUCACAAGAUGUGGCUACAUCAAGCUUAGCAACAUUGUUAGUAGCAACAUGUGUUUCAUCAAUUGCAAGUUCAUAAGCAAUCUCAAGGUUGUCAUAGUUUGCUUUUAGAGUUGUUAGAUCUUCUUUCAUUGCUCUAUAUCCAGUGAUAAGCUCAUCAUGAACACUCUCAAGUUUAUCAUGUUUUUCUUUGAGUUCUUUUGAAGAGAGUUUGAGCUCCUUGAGCUUAGUGGUCAUGAUUUCAUUUUGGUCUCUAAGCUCAUCACUAGACUUAAGCUUUGCUAGAAGUCUUUCAUUUUCAAGUUCAAGCUUUUCAUUUUCACUUCUAGAUUUUCUUAUGACUUUUGUGUACUUGUUAAGCAAUUUUACAAGUUCAUCAUAAGAAGGUGAUUCGUAUUCACUAUCACUUUCACUACUCUCAUCCUCACUUUGUACCUUCCGGUCACCCUUAGCCAUGAGGCAUAGGUGUGUAGAGGAUGUAGAUGGUGGUGAAGAUGAUGGUGAUGAAGCAUUGAUGGCAAUGGCGGCAACCUUCUCAUCAUCACUCUCAUUGCCAGAGGAGUCACCACUUGAGCUCUCAAUGUCGGUGAGCCAAUCACCAACAAUGUAAGCCUUGCCAUUCUUCUUCUUGUAGUGCUCCUUCUUCUUGCCAACUUUCUUCUUGUAUUGCUUCUUGUCAUUCUUGUCAUCAUCACUUGAAUCAUCUUGCUCUUUGUUCUUCUUCUUGUAUUUGUCCUUCUUGGGCUUUGGACAUUGAUGAGCAAGAUGGCCAAGCUCACCACAAUUGUAGCAAUCCAUCUCGGAGAUGGGCUUUCUCUUGCUACUUGUGAAGAAUUUCUUCUUCUUGGAGUCAAAGUUGACUCCAUUCUUGUUGAGCUUCUUCAACAUCAUUGUGGUUCUUCUCACCAUGAGGGCAAUAGAUGCAUCAUCAUCACCUGAAGUUGAUGACUCAACUUCAAUCUUCUUGGCCUUGCCCUUGUGAGAAGCUUUGAGGGACAAGUCCUUCUUCUCCUUCUUGGCCGAUGAGGAGCCAUCUUGGGGGUUCAUGUUCAUGUACAUCUCAUGAGCAUUGAUCUUCCCCAAUAUGGCGGUUGGUGUAGUGGUGGAGAGAUCGCCUUGGUGAAGCACCGUUACUAUGUGCCCAUAUUUCUCAAUGGGAAGCACACGUAGUAUCUUCCUUGCGACAUCCGCCGCACUCAUUUGAGUGAGCCCAAGUCCAUUAAGCUCCUCUACAAUGACAUUCAAGCGAGAAUACAUUUCAUUAGCAUUUUCUUUGGGAAGCAUCUCAAAUGUAUUAAGCUUGUUCAUCACUAAGUGAUAGCGUUCCUCGCGUUCACUCUUUGAUCCCUCAUGGAGCGCACAAAGUUCCUUCCAAAGAGCAUUGGCGGUUUUGUGGCUCCGAACGCGGUUGAACACCUCUUUGCAAAGGCCUCUAAAGAUUUGGUUUGUGGCCUUCGCAUUCCACUUCUCGUUUUCUUGCUCUUGUGGAGUAAAAGCGGUGUCUUUUGCCGGAGGGGUAAACCCUUCGGUCGCAGCUUUUAGGCACUUUACAUCGCAUGCCUCAAGGUAUGACUCCAUUCGUAUUUUCCAAUACGGGAAGUCAUCCCCAUCGAACAUGGGUGGCGGUCCAUCCCCGUUAGACAUCUUUCUCUAGGCGAUGAAGCCUAAAUAAUGAGCACUAGGCUCCGAUACCAAUUGAAAGGAUCAAGAUGCCCAAGAGGGGGGUGAAUUGGGCUUCUCUAAAAAUUUAAGCAACCUAUAAGCUCCAAUUCAACCCCUUGUACCUAGUGUGACCUAGAGAGCUACCGGACAAAAGUUUUGCAACCUAAUUCCAAUCCUAUUCUAGCAAGGCAAUUCUAAGAAUGUGAGUAGUGGAAGAAAGUGCUCGGCGAUGUUUUGCCGAGGUAUCAGAGAGUUGCCACUCUCCACUAGUCCUCGUUGGAGCACCCGCUCAAGGGUCUUGCUCCCCCUUGGUCCGCGCAAGGACCAAGUGCUCUCUACAGGCUGAUUCUUCGACACUCCGUCGUGGUGAAUCGCCCAAAACCGCUCACAAGCUUGACACGAGCCACCCACAAGAACUCCGGGCAGUCUUCGUACCUCCAAUCACCACCGAGCCAUCUAGGUGAUGGCGAUCACCAAGAGUAACAAGCAAAGAACUCUCACUUGACCCAAACAAGGCUCUAAGAGUGGUGGAUGCACACUUGACUCUUGGAAUUCACUAGAGAAGGAUUCUCUCAAGAAAUCACUCAAAUCUCAAUCCUCUCUAGGCUCUUGCUACUCUCUUGUUCCAAAACAAGUUUCUCAGAUGUUCAAAUGGGCAAGAGACCUCUCAUGGACAAGGUGGAGGAGUAUAAAUACACCCCACGAAGUCCAAAGGUCAGCCAACCGUUUUCCAAUGAAAACGGGGUCACCGGACGCUCUUUAUGUUGCACCGGACGCUCUGCACCGAGCGUCCGGUGCUCCAUUAUUGCCAACUGUACCUGCGUCUGACAGGUCACCGGACGCUAACUCUCAGCAUCUGGUGGCACCGCCUGGUGCUCCUGGGAGUUUUACAUACUCCCUGAGUAUGGGACCGGACGCUACCCGGUGCGUCCGGUGCUAGCGUCCGGUGCUCAGGGGAAGUUUACAACCACCCUGGGUGUGGGACCGGACGCUGCCCGGUGAGUCCGGUGCUAGUGUCCGGUGCUUAACCCUAAGCACCACACUGUUCCAACGGCUAAGGACCUCACCGGACACACUCACAGAGCGUCCGGUGCAGCGUCCGGUGCCCCCUUGGGCACCCUAACUUUGUCGAAACGCGAUCGCUCCAAAACAAAGUUGGUUCCUCUCGAUCUAAGGACUAUCUCUGAGCUGCCUAGUGCUAGGUUUACCAAGUGUGCACAACACCUAAACCUAAAGCCUUGCCUAAGUCAAGCUACUAGAUCAAAGCCCCUCUUAAUUGUACGGUCAAAGGAAAACAAAGUCCUAAACUACUCUAAGUGCCCUUCUUCACCAUAUGGCACUUAGACCUAGUCUAGUCUUGAUGAUGUCCAUCCAUCCUUUGAAAACCAAAACGAUUUCCACUAUUAAGUAGGCAUGUACGUCCCUGUCCAUCGAGUACCUAUUACCAUGACCUUACCUAUGACUUUGCCUCUGCAAAACACACGUUAGUCAUAGUAAUCAACAUUGUCAUUAAUCACCGAAAUCACUAGGGGCCUAGAUGCUCUUUCAGGCGGGUCGCGCUUCGCUUCUUCGUAUUGCUUCCAAACUCUAUCCUAUACCCUAUUUCUAUCCUAUUCAACUAUGAAAUGUCUCAAGGACAUAGGAGGAUCAAAUUAAUAAAAAGGAAUAAACUAGACUACAUCCAACUUAGCAGUAUUUUUAUCAUGUUCUAGAAAAAUCUUAAGGCACUGACCAUUUACCUUGAAAAGCAUACCUUCGUCAUUUUGAAGAGUUAUCGCUCCAUGCGAUGAAGAGCUAACCACCAUAAAUGGUACUUCCCACUUGCUCUGUAGCUUUCCAUGUUCGAAUAGUUUUACCCUAGAAUUAAAAAGUAAUACCUUAUCUCCUGGGGCAAAGUUCUUUGUAUUGAUCCUCUUGUCAUGCCACCUCUUAGUUCUCUCCUUAUACAUCUUGGCGUUGUGAUAUGCUCUUUCACACCACCCAUCAAGCUCUGAGAGUUGCAUCUUCCGUUUGACUCCAGCUGCUUCUAGAUCCAUAUUCCAUCUUUUGAUCGCCCAGUGAGCUUUGAAUUCAAGCUCAAUGGGCAAGUGACAUGCCUUCCCAUAGACGAGUUGAUAUGGAGACAUUCCUAAUGGUGUCUUCUAGGCUAUACGAUAGGCCUACAAUGCCUCUGGUAGCUUGUCCUUCCAUUGGGUUCCCAUCUCAUUGACUAUUUUCUAUAGAAUAUUCUUGAUUUGCUUGUUUGACAUCUUUGCUUGGCUACUUGUCUGAGGAUGAUAAGGAGUAGCGAUGUUGUGACGGAUCCCAUGUCUUAUCAAAUACUUCUGGAAGCUUUUGUCAAUAAAGUGGGGGCCUCCAUCACUAAUCACUAUCUUUGGAACUCCAAACCUUAGAAAUAUUAUCUCUUUGAACAUCUUCUUAGAGUUUCGGGAGUCUGCAUUUCUGCAUGGCAUAGCUUUGACCCACUUGGAGACGUAGUCAACUACCACGAGAAUAUACUCAUAAUUCCCAAAUUUGGAAAAGGUCCCAUGUAGUCAAUUCCCCGACAGUCAAAGAGUUCAAUCUGAAGAUUGCUAGUUAGUGACAUGGCAUCCCUUGAAUUGAUAUUGCCAUGUUUCUGACAAGCCUUGCAUAUUCGAAUGAAUUCCUUUGUCUUCAUACAUGGUUGGUCAUAAAAAUCCACUAUGCUAGAUCUUUGAAUGUGUCUGGAACACUCUAUAGUGUCCUCCAUAGGGUGAUGAAUGACAUCUUUCGAUAAUCUUGGGUCCUUCUUCAGUUGGUACACAUCUUCUGAGUAGUCUGUCUGAACAAAUCCUGAAGGUGUACCGAUCAUCCCAUAGGCGAACACGCUUCUCAUACAUGAGCUUCUUCUUAUCUCCAUUUGGUGGUACAUAUCCUGUAACUAUAAAAUUAACAAUAUCUACAUACCAAGGGUUAGAUCUAGAGAUUUGAUAAAGCAUAUCAUCACUAAGGGAAUUAUUUAUGGGUAACUCCUAUGGAUUCUCAACCUGCAUUCUUGACAAGUGGUUAGCAACAUAAUUUUCUACUCCCUUUUUAUCCUUGAUUUCAAAAUCAAACUCUUGGAGUAACAAAAUCCAUCUUAUCAAAUGAGGUUUAGCAUCUUUCUUAGUGAGGAGGUAUUUAAGAGCAGCAUGAUCAGUGUAAACAAUUACCUUAGCUCCUAUUAAAUAAGAUCUAAACUUAUCAAUAGUAAAAACUACAGCCAUGAGCUCUUUUUUAGUUGUGGCAUAAUUAAGUUGAGGUCCUAUCAGAGUUUUACUAGCAUAAGCAAUUGCAUGAUGUUUCUUAUCUUUACAUUGUCCUAGUAUAGCACCUACUGCAUAAUCACUUGCAUCACAUAUGAUCUCAAAAGAUAAAGAUCAAUCAGGAGGUUGAAUGAUACGAGCAGAAAUAAGCGCUUUCUUUGGCGUAUCAAAAGCUUUAAGACUAGACUCAUCAAAAUCAAAGGGAGCAUCCUUAGCCAACAAACUGGUAAGUGGUCUAGCAAUAUGAGAAAAAUCUUAUAAACCGACGAUAAAAACCAGCAUGGCCAAGAAAACUUUAGAUCCCUUUAACAUUAAUAGGGGGAGGUAGUUGCUCGAUUACUUCAAUUUUGGCUCUGUCCACCUCAAUUCCCUUUUUAAAAAUUAGGUGCGCUAACACUAUUCCUUCCCUAACCAUGAAAUAACAUUUUUGCCAGUUAAGGACUAAGUGUUUUUCUUCACAUCUUUGUAAAACUUUGCCUAAAUUUUCAAGACAAUCAUCAAAAAUUUUUCCAUAGAUAGAAAAAUCAUCCAUAAAAAUUUCCAUGAUUUCCUCAAUCAUAUUAGAAAAGAUAAACAUUAUACAUUGUUGAAAAGAAGUGGGUGCAUAACAUAAUCCAAAAGACAUUCAGCGAUAAGCAUAAGAUCCAUAAGGACAUGUAAAAGUGGUUUUGUUUUGAUCAUUCAGAUGGAUCGGAAUCUGAGGAUAUCCAGAAUACCCAUUAAGAAAACAAAAGGAGUGAUUCGCCAAACGCUCUAGCAUUUCAUCAAUGAAGCACAGUGGGAAGUGGUCUUUCUUUGUUGCCUUGUUAAGUUUUUCUGUAAUCAAUACAUAUUCGUCAUCCUGUGAGUGUUCGUUGAGGAAUCAACUCAUUCUUUUCAUUCCUAACAACAGUCAUACCUCCCUUCUUAGGCACAACUUGCAUAGGGCUGUAACACCCUAAAAAUUGUUUUCUGGGAAAUAGAGCUAAAAUGAUUUAAUUAUGAAUUUUUGGUGCUCAUGAAAAUAUAGGAAAAAUAAUAUUUUUCACUAAAUUAAAAUUAUCAUAGGAUGUAGAAACAUUUGUGUAUAUUCAUGCUGGUGCAUAUGAUUUUGAUAUGAGUGGUUUUACUAAGGUUCAAAAAUAAUUCAAAGUGAUUUUUAAAAUAGUUUUGAAUAUGGCUUUGGAAUAGAAGAAAGGAAAAUACAAAAAAAAAAAAACAAAAAAACCCCUCCCCCUUUCCUGGCCCGAGGGCCCAAACUUCCCCUCCCCUCUCUAUCUCGGGCUGCAAGCAGGCCGAGCUCAGCUCCCCUUUCCCCCUUCUUCUCCUCUGGGCCGAGCCCGUUUCCCCUCUCUCGCGGCCUGCCCAACCCCGCGCGGCUUUCUCCUCCCAGCAACUCGGCCGCCAGCGCACUGUUGACGGUCCUUAAGUAUCAAAUUUAAUUAUCAAAUAAACAAAGAAAAGGAUCCAAAUGAAAUCAACAUCUAGACAUAUGGUUUUAUCUGACAGAAUUCCAUGAGUUUUGGUGUUUGUCUAUUUCUACAGGGGGUUAUCAGGAAAUACGGAAGAAAGGCCCACACGUCAGGAUUACAUAUAGAUAUUAACGUGCCGCGCAAUUAUCUUACAUCAAGAAGACUCCAGAAGCCACGGGAAGGAAGCGGAGGCCGAACGGGGCCAGGGACUGGGCGCCCGCCCUGUUGCCCUGGGCGCCCGCCCUCCUGCCGAGCCCAAUCAGGACUCUGUUUUGGGGAAGAUCUCCACCGACCUAAAGGAUCAAGGAUAACCGUUAAAUCAAUGUCGGUUUGAUCCAACGGCCCAUAUUCAUUUGAAGGGACUAUAAAACCAAACCCCCUGGCCCCUGGAGGAGAGAGCCUCUCAACCCUAAUUCAUUAUUCCUCAAGGGAGAAGAAGCCUAUGAUCAAGAUUAGAGCCACCACAUCAAUUAGACAUCUAGAUUAGCUUAGCUACAUAGGAUUAGAACUAGAAGGAGUCAAUCUUCGAUUAGUUUCCGGAUCUGUCAAGAGGAUUCUUGGUAAUUCUCUAAUUGUUCUUCUAACUGUUCUUCUAAUUAUCUUUGUUCUUCAAUGUUAUGAAUAUGACUUUGUUCUACUUCAAUAUAUUGCUUAUGACUUUGCUCUACUUGCUUAUAUUCAAGAUUAUAUUGUUCUUAGUUUAUCAUAGUUAUAUACUUGGCUUAGUUAGAUUGGAUCUAUAUACAUGUUUAAGAUCGUAUAGCGUUUAUCCAUCGGAUCCAUGGGUAAAUGAUAGAUAUUGUGUUGGCGUGGUGCUUAUACCGUAUUUAUCUACGAUUGUACACAAUAUGCCAGAUUGUGGGGUAGUUCGUGACAAUGACAGCUUCAUUGAUUCUUAUAUAGUCCCCCUCUCGUGUAUUGGGUUGGCAGAGCAAUAUUAUUAUAGGGGAGUGAUUGCUAUGUUUCUCAUUUACCUUGCUAAUAUCACUAUGCAUGGGCGUAAUCUUGUCUCACAAUGAUUGCUAAGUAUGCUUGCACUAAUUAUGAUAAUGCUAGACUAUAUAGUUGAGAAUAACUUAGGAAAUAUUCUUGUAGUUCGUUCUAAUACCAUGCUAAUGACUUUCUAGAGUAUUUAAUUGAGGUGCUUAUCAUAUUUAUAUGUGGCUAAGUUAUGCUGAUCAGAUUAAUUAUCUUUGUCACUAUUCAUUACAUCAUAUAUCUUUUAUGUGACACUUAUCCCUGUAUGAAAGAGUUAGAUAAAUGUUCUCAAUUAUACAUGCAAUGAUAGAUACUCAAUCUCAUAUUCUAUUCUAUAAUCAAUAUUGAUGAUUGUUAAUCCCUUCCCAGUGGUAAAAACAUAAAUAACGAUACCUGGAAUAUUUCUAGGUUAAAAUGCUACAUCGGUAUUAAUCUGUGCGCUUGCAGAUCCCAUUCAUUAUUUAUUUAGAAGAGCAAUUGCAUAUUUCAAUACCGCAUCUCUCAUGUCAUGCUAGGGAUGACAACUUGGCUUAAGUGGUGUGAGGGAUAGGUUUGGCAUUUUUGGCACCGUUACUAGAAUUAGAAAACUAAGUCUACUUUUGGUAAUGAUGUUAAGAAUACCCAACAAGCAUUUUUGGCGCCGUUGCCGGGGAAGGUUGAUUACUAAUCAGGAAUGAAUAUAGGAUUUUGAGUUAUCAUUCCCAUCACUAAUAUGAUUGAGCUUGUCUAUUCUCUCAUACAGUUUUACCCUGAUAUUUUCUAUUUUAUCUUAUGCAGGGGAAUGUAUGAAUAGAAGACAUCUUCCAGGAAAUUUUAUUGACAAUCCCGAAGCAUUAUUCAGAAAAACAAGAGCUAAGCUCAAGAAGAGAUCAUCAACACUUCAGCAAGAAGCUUCAAUCAAGAAGAUCACCGGAACUUGUCUUUAGAGUUCGAAGCCAUGGCGAACAAAUCAAUCCGCGAGUUCUCAGCUCCCACUACGGACAACAUCCGCACUGGACCUGCUGCAGAGAUCGAUGGCAACUUUGAGCUCAAGCCUGGACUUAUCAACAUGGUGCAAUCCAACCAGUUCUGUGGGAAGGCACACGAAGAUGCUAGUGCUCAUCUCCAACACUUCCUGGAGAUUUGCAACACAUUUACCAUAUCAGGAGUCCCCAGAGAUGCUAUACUACUUCGCCUCUUCCCAUUCUCACUGUUAGGGAGAGCAAAGUAGUGGUUCUACGCUACAAAGGAGAAGAAUACUACGUGGGCACUCUGCUCAACAAACUUCCUGGCUAAGUUCUUUCCCAUGGGCAAGACCAAUGCUCUCCGUGGGAAAAUUACAAGUUUUCAGCAACAACAUGAUGAAUCUGUUCUAGAAGCAUGGGAGCACUUCCAAGACUACAUCCUAGAAUGUCCCCAUCAUGGAAUGGAGAGUUGGCUAGUGACGCAGACGUUUUAUCAUGGGUUCGGCAACAGUGCUCGAGAAACCAUGGAUGCUACAGCUAGAGGAGCAUUCCUAUCACUUACCAUAUCACAAGCCACAGCUCUUGUGGAGAAGAUGGCAUUCAAUCAAAGCUGGAAUGAAGAGAGGACCCAGACACGCAAGAGAGGUGGAGGUAUGCAUCAGCUCAAGGAGGUAGACAUGCUGUUUGCAAAGCUAGACCUGCUCAUGAAGAAGCUCGAUGAUAGAGCUGGAGAUAAGAAAGAAGUUAUGCACAUCUACGACUCUCACAUGACUUGUGAGGAGUGUGGAGACACUGGACACUCAGACAAUCACUGCCCUGAGAUGCUUGAGGAUGUGAACUACAUCAACAAUAACAACAAUAACUACUACAACCGUCCUCAACAAAAUCAAGGUUGGAAUCAACAGAGGCCUUGCUACUCAGGUAAUUAUCAAGGUAACAAUUCUUACAACAAUAAUAAUAAUCUUCCACCGUUGAGAGAGUUAGUGUCUAAUCAAGGAAAGCUAAUGGAUAACCUAUCUAAGAAAUUGGCAUCUAAUGAUAAAAUGCUAGAAAAUAUAAAUAAUAGAAUGGAUAAUUUCUCUACUGCCAUCAAGAAUCAAAUUAGCUUUAAUAAAAUGAUUGAAUCUCAGUUAAAUCAAAUAGCUGUUGUUGUUCCUACUACUAACCCCGGUAUACCAUCACAACCGGAGGGAUUAGAAUCUGCAAAUCUUGUAGACAUGUUUGAUGCAGGUAAUAAUUGGAGUAACCCCGUCACUGAAUUCACUACUGACCUUCUGCCAAUCAAGAGAGGCGAUCCAGGACGCCCCGUCAUCCCAAUCUCCAUCGGCAUGGUGGACGUCCCAGAAGCACUCUGCGACUUUAGCUCCAGCGUCAACAUUAUACCUAGGGUACUCUAUGAGAAAUUCUUUACAUAUCCUUUAUUAGAACAACCAUGUGUUUGUAGUUUGCAGAUCAGGCAUUAAGUUUUCGAAAAGGAAUAUUGAACAACCUUUGUGUCCGAGUUGGUACCUUGUACACCCUAGCAGACUUCGUGGUGAUAGAGACCGGUAAUGAUGAGAGAGCACCCAUUAUCUUAGGGAGGCCAUUCUUAAAUACCUCGGGAGCUGUCAUCUAUGCUAGUGCUGCCAAGAUCAGUUUCUACAUCAAAGGGAGGAAGGAGACAUUUUCCUUGAAGAACAAGACUACACAAAUUUCAGAUCAAUCCAGACGUGAAUCAAGGAAGAGGACCAACAAGAGGAACAGGAACAAGCAAGUGUGGACCGAGUCAGCUAAGAUGGUCACUGCAGUUCAUGGAGGCCAAGAUCAUCAACUUAAGCCACCUUCUAACCAAGAAGGACGACCUAGGAACGCCAAGCAUCUAUUGCUCCAUAAAUGAAUACAACUUCUACAAGAUGACUUGCGACACCGGAUCGGGCGUCAACAUAAUGGCCGUAGUCACCUAUCGUCUCUUGUUCGGAACCAUGCCCCUGAAACCAACAUACAUUCAGCUCGGGAUGGCAGAUCAGACAUUUCGAGAAGUUAAAGGAACAGUAACUGAUGUCCUAAUCAAAAUAGGCGAUCAUUUUGUCUACACAGACUUUUAGGUUAUUGACAUGGGAGAAGACGAAUACGAUCCACCCAUCAUCCUUGGAAGACCGUUCCUCAGCACCGUUAAAGCAAUCAUCUACAUUAGAACCGGAGAAGUCCAUAUGCACUUCCCCUCAGAGAAGGUACGCCGUUAUUUUACUGACCCUAACUAUAUCGUUGAAGAAUCUAAGCAGGUAAGAAAACGACGCAACCGCAACCAGAGGAGGGAAAUCAUCAAGGACGUCUGGGCAGACUAUGAAGGAGAAGUUGUAAGGUCAGAAGACGUAGAGUUUAAACAGAAUUAUCCAGAGGAGACCGUAGCACCGAGUCAGGUAUGGAAAGAGAAGAUAACUAUACAUGAAGAGGAGGCGCCGCCGGAAGUACCGACUACGCCACCUAACGAAUCCUAGGACAAUUGAAGAAAAUGGAGAGUCCCGUUCGGAGGACUUAAAAACACCGAACACCUUGCCAAGAGGUAAACUUGGUAGUUAUCCUUUUCCCUUUCAAUUAUUUAAAUAGUUUGCUUAGUUAAUCAUGUUUAUACCAUCCUAAAAAGAAAAUAAAAAUGUGAAAAAUAGUAAGCCCCAUGUGAGUAUACGAGUGGCAUAAAACCCAUAAGUACAUUCACUGUGGUGGCAUAAAAAUAAAAUAAAUAUGUAACACCCUAGUGUUAUGGUUGCAUAAAUCACAUGCAUAACAUAAGCAUCAUCAUCUACUCAAGCAUAUCAUGAUCAUCAUCUACCUUGAGUCAUACCUUUCUAUGCAAAAAUGUGAUUUAAAUUGUUUAAAUAGUCCUCCUAUGCUUAUGUAUGUGUGAACCAUGCUUGUGUUUGUGUGCUAUGCCUUGUUGUUUUAUGGCCAUCUCAUGAAAAUGAUCACAUGUAGCUCAAAAGUGACCCACAAGGCAGAUUUGGGUCUAUUUCCAACACUUAGAAAAUUUUCUAAGUCCUGAAUCGCAGCAGUUUGCUCGAGGGUGUGUUGUUCAUCUUCCAGUUUGAAUUCUAGCCUGAAUUAGACUCUGAUCUUGUAAGCAAUGUUGGAGUACUCAUGUAGCUCUCCAACACAGAGCAAUUAGCCAGCAAAAUCAUCGAGUGGAUUAGGAGUUAAUCACCGUGCAAAAUCGGGUUUCAGUUGGGUUUGGGAACUGAAUGAGGUCGCCGUCAGACAGGGGAGCUCGCCGGUGACGCCGCGUGUCUCGACCCGUGGCGUUCGUACGUCGCCGUUGGUCCCGCUCGUCAGUCCCCAGCGCGUCCUAUAGCUUGCCACGGCGCUCCCAGUCGCGUGGACAGCGCCAUUCCACUCCCAGCUCUCUCUCUCUCGCGCGUGCGCCUUCUUCUCCGCGUCGCCGCCGUUGCUUCGGCGAGCUCGCGCGCGUGUCUCCAUGUCUCCGGCCGAGCGACUCCGUCCAUCGCUCCGCCAGCUUCCCCAUGACCCCGUCGUCGAGUUGGCUGCAGCUGCCGAGCCUCGGUAAGCCCGCAUUGCCUUCUCCGUCGCGAGCUUACCUCGCCGAAGCUCCGCCAUGGUCACCGGCGUCGUGGCCAGGGCUCUGUAGUCCACCAUUCUUCCUCAUUCUUGUCCCAAAAGCUCCGCUAGGUGCAUUCUCUUCCGCUCUGUCUCCGGCCAGAGACACCAGCGGUCAGCCGCACACCACCGCCGUGCCGCCAUUCACGAGGGCAAGGUACGUAUGGUCCAGUAGAGUUAGAGUUUCGGGUACCGCUCGAUGCGGAAUGGAGUGGGGAGCAUGAUGGUGCCCUAGGCCAUCGCCGAGACCUCGUCGUCGACGAGAUCUCCGGCGGUCAAGUCGCGCCUCUGCUCUCGGGUCGCUGACAUGUGGGGUUGGUUGACUCGUGGGGUCCCUCUGUCAGCCUCUCUUUCCCCUUUGUUUGAUUUAGGGUUUGAGCUGUUUUUGCAAAAAUCAGAUCUCUGGUUCUGGUGAUCCAAAAAUUGUGAAAUCAAUUUUGUGGUAUUCCUUGAGAUGGCUAGUUUUUAAUAAAAAUAUAAAAUGAACCAUGUUUUCUUGGAAAAAUAUUUAUUAGGAUUUAAUCUUGUUAUUCAUGAGUAAAUUCUUAUCUCUUGUUAUACUGAUUGUUUUGCUAUGAAAAUUUUAUGGUAGCCUCUGUGUGGUACUAGGAUACUAUGACAAAUAUUUCAUGAUUUUUGGAGUACUAUAUCUGUGUUAUGUAAAUUAUGAUUGAGAUAUGGCUUGUUUUCUUAUUAAAAUCAUAGCAAAUAAUUGGUGCUUAUGAUGGUACUCUACUUUGGUGGCAAACUUGUCUAUGGUAUUAGUAACAUGUAAAUAAUCUGAAAUCUGUUGUUACACCAAAUAGGCCAUGUUUCUGAAUUUAUGAAAUAAACACCUUGUCACAUGUUAAAUGCAUAUCUUUAAUUUGGCACGUGCAAUUGCUCUGAAAUUUUUAUGGUGAUGUCACAAUGCCAUACUUGUGCUUCUGUAAUUUUUGUAGAUUUUGCUGAGCACUUUUACUAGUGUCUUGUAAUUAUGCUCCUUUCUAGAAUUAAAUUAAUAAAUGCCUUGUUAAGUAAAUGUUUGGAGGUUUUCAUAUGAUGUUCUGGUUAUCUUGUGGUGUGCUUGUGCUCAUAGGCCAUUUGGUUGGCACUAUUUAUGUUUUGGCUAUGUCACCAAACAAUUAAUUAAAGGGUUAAAGGCUGUUCUGAACAGCAAGGGAGUAAUACAACCUUUACUUGUUGAUAACUUGGUUUUCUGGGAGGCUUGUCUAAAUCAAAGUUGUUGUAAACUUUAUGAACUAGCUAUGGUUUAAAUUUGGGAUCAAUUGGUCCAGUAGUUUGAAAGUUAUGGCUGUUCCAAUUUGGGUUCCAGAAAUAGGUGCUCUCUGUUUUUCUGGGACAGAACCUGGAACUUUGUUUAAAUGACUUGGUUAACCUAUAAAUCUUGCUGUGAUGUUCAAAGAUGAUUUGUAGAUAAUUUCCUGAGCUUUCCAGAAUGUCCUCACUUAAGUUUGUUGGAUCUUUGUAGCAAUAGUUAUGGUCUGUUUACUGAGCUGUUCUGUUUUGUGUUGCUUGCUGUUUAUAAGUUGACUUGUCUAGUUCGAUUAAUUCAUGUGGUUUUCUUGUAAGUUAACUUAGAAGUUUACUCUGUAAAUGAGUGUCCAGUGAGUUUAUUUAUGUGUCAAGCAUUCAUCCCUUAUUAUGCACAUCUUCUUAUUCGUUGAGCAUGCAAUAGGUGCAUCGGACGCGACCGCUUCCUACGAGCUCCAAGUGAACCCCGAAGGCCAGGAGGGCAACCCGGAGGUGGAGGUCCAGCAAGUCGGACUCGAGAAGCCCGAAGAGGAAGUUGAGUGCCCAAAUCACGAGCCAGCUUCGUUCGUGAAAGGCAAGCCCCGAAGCAUUCUAAGUCUCCGUUUACUUUCGAAAGUUUACUUAAUAUGUUAUAUCUAUUGAUGCAUUAAGUAUAGGAGUUGUGAUGAAACCUUUGCUGCAUUUUACUCCAUCCUUGUCCAGAUAACUUACCAUACCCUGGUUAUAGAGUUAGGAUCGAGUAGCAGCUUAGCCAUGCUUUAAUCGGUAGAAGUCGGUUGAUUUCCUGUCACCUGCGCGAUAUAGGGUUAUGUCGGAUCAUGAUGGACUAUAUGUGCUAUCGUGGGUGGAACCUGAUUAAAUUGACUUAAGCCGGACGGAGUUUUGCAAGGUCGUAGUAACUCCGUCUGUGGCAGCUAAGGACCGACCGUUGUACGUCCUCUUGUCAUGUUGAACGCAUGCCUAACACUUAUAUGGUCGGAUAACUCAUUCCGACCGCGAAGCCGAGUAAUAUGACUCAGGCCGGAAGGUCGAUAAGUAUAAAGUGUGCACUACCGGAGGAAGUGCGGUGUGCGGGGGACCAUUGGCGUAAGUCCAAAGGCAGGUGAGUUAAAAUUCCUGACCUCCCUGGCAGAGUGGUAGCCCUGGGAGUGCGGCGCUAAUCGGAACCGCGAUUCCUGAGUCGUAUCAAAGGUGACCCGUUGGCUCUCCGACGGGGGAUGUUUGGGUGAGUGAUAGGAAUACCCCCCCCCCAACUGGAUAGGAAUUCGAUUCGAAUCGCCGUCUCUCCCGGUUAGUGAGAACUUGAUAGAGCAGCGGCAAACGUAGCAUUCACUAAAGAACUUUGGUUCAUGAUAAUGAUGAUAGCAAGGAAGAGUACAUGAUGAACUUGAUAUGGUUAUUAUUGCUUGUAAUAAUCAAGUGAAGUGUUUUAGUACAGGUGCUAAUCUAGUGGUAGACUGAUGAUGAAUAAAUAUGAUGCUUUCACAAUAAUUUAGUAUAAUUUAAGCUUUUGGAAAUGUCGAGUCAACCAGCUCUACUUAAAUUUUAGCCUUGCAUGAUCCUUGGUGUCUUUUAUGUUUUACUAGACGGGUAAGUCUAGCUGAGUACAAUCUCGUACUCAGGGUUUAUUCCCACCUAUUGCAGAUGAUAUCUUUUAUGAUGGCUUCUGCAAGACCUGUCUCCAUCCCGUUGGGGAUGAGGACUAACCGUUGGGCACGGUUCUCUAACUUCUUCGCAUCUGCUGCUUUUGGAUGGAUGGCAUGAGACCCUGGCUGAACAAGAACUUAUGAAAUGAACUUUGAAAAGUGUGUGUAAUUAUUUUGCUUCCGCUACUUCGAACAUGUAUUGUAAUAACUUAAUAACUCCGAUGUGGUGCCGCUUCGACGGCAAUGAAUGACUAUGUAACAUUCCCUGUGUUGUGCUAAAUUAUUACGAUCUUGGUUUGUUGCAAGUUGGUUUGAAGCCCUUCAUGAUUUCAAUUGACUACUGGGAUUAUAUGGGCUCAAGUUUGGAAACUUGAUUGCUUGUCGAUCGUUUCUACACUUGAACUCUUAUAAUUUGGUCGGUUCUGUGACAACUGGCAUCGGAGCAAGUUCAGCAUUAUAAAUGCAGCGUUUCUGUAUUUAAAAACAAAAGAGUUUCUAAAUAAAAUGGUGUAAAUCAAUACUUAAUUUAUGCCAGUGGUCGAAUCCUCCUUGCCCAUAUAAGGACUAUAGGUGGCUAUUUAAGUACUGACUUGGGGGGUUUUAUUUAUGCAUCUCCGGCAGUACUCAGGUAUGGAUGUGUGAUGACCGCACUAUGCUACCCUGUGGUGUAAUGGUAGAGGUAGCCUUCAUAUGUGAAUUAGCCACAUAUGUCGCUAGAUUUAAAUUAUGCAACGUCGCACCUACGCUCUAGUAAGUGUGAGCUGUGAGAGCAUUAUCGUCCAAACGGCGGUCUAGGGGAGUGUUCGCGGUGGUUUUCUAGAGUGGUUACAUGUCAAAACCAUGGAACCACGAAAGAAACUUAAUUGGGAAGCAUUUAAUUUCUCGAGUAGCUGUGGUGUCAUUGUUUGUGCAUGUUGGGCAUGUCCAAGCAAUGUGCACUUAGUUUACUGCUUUCUUGAGUGAUAUAUUGGGAACUGUUGGGCUGAAAUGAAGUUUUCUGCAGAUACUCUAACGGCGCACGUGUAAAUCGCUAGUUAUCGUAUCGAGAGACGAAUGUAUGCCACCGUAUAUCAGUUAGAAUAUUAAUUUUCUAAGUUUGUGAGGACGUACGGUUCGUGCAUGCAUCAUGUCGCAUUCAUACAUACAUUCUGUCUACUCCUUCCCUUACAAUGUCGUCCCUUUUAAUUAAAUAAAUGUUCCUUAAACUAAUCCUCUUUUACCCAUGGUAUUCCUAUUCCUUUCCACAGAUGGAUGUGCCCGCUUCACCCCGUCCCAGUGACACUUUCUUGAGCGAGUUUGGCACACCUACCUUGCUUUGGAGAGUGCUACAGUCGGUGGGGUAUACUGAGCCACCUCAAUAUUCUUGGUGGGAGAUGGAAAGGACAGGAGAGUUGCAAUGGUUUGCUGUGCAGGGAGUUGUCCCUCCACAUGGGGGCAGGCCUGCAUGGAUAGGAUGGACCUGUAGCUCAGAUGGGCAGACUCCUUGGGAAGCAGCUCAGGUUGCAGCCCAGACUAUGCUACUUGAUAUCUGUCAGAGGUGUGGCGAUGAGCUGAUAGGAGGACCAGCGGCCUCCAUUCCCCGUGCUGACCCAGUAGCAGCGGAAUGGAAGCAGGCCGAUGGUUGUGCGUUGGUCCGAGGCAGGGGUGAGUGAGCCGAGAGUUCUAGUCCUGCAAUGAGUGCUAUGAUGGCUGUGCUAAGGCUGAUCAGUCAGCGAGAGGACACCUAUGCACAGGUGAUGGUGCCUAUUCGCCAGGCUCAGGAGAUACAACAGAAGGCUGAAAAGCGUGCUCGCAAGUUUCGCAAGCAAGCUAGACUCCUGGAGCAAGCUCAGAAGGACCGCAAUGACUGGAAGACAUUGCGGAGUACCGUAGGCAGCAGUGGGUGAAGGCCAUUAGAGAGAGAGAGAUCAUAAGCAAGAUCAGAUGAGUCAGUUGGCUCGAGAGAGGGAGAUAGUGCAGGAGCGCUUGGUGCAGAUCACUCGUGAGAGGGAUACUGUGCUCCGUGUGUUGGAGAACAGGCGCCAGGCUUGGGAGAUGCAUAGGAUUCAGUCGCUUGAGCGGGAGAACUAUCUGCAGGAUCAGAUUGAGGCUGGUCUUGUGGAGAUUCACCGUGUCACCAACUUGCUACACCCUAUUGCUCGCCCUGUACCCGUGUACCCGGAGGUGGGACCUCAGGUGAUUGUGGCCGAUGAUGAUGGUAUGGAGGUCGAUGGACCAGCAGCGGCUGCACCACCCUUGCACGAGGACGUGGAGGACGAGGAGCUUGAGCUGGUUAGCGACGAGGAUGGAGAGGCGAUCUUCGAUGCUGACUCGGGCGACGAGCCUGGAGUGUAGUGAGUAGUGGGUAGUUGUUCUGUGAGGACCUUUUGUAGCAUGCCAGUUAGCAGUGGUGCUUUUGUAAUCAUGAUGUAUUCCGGAACCUUGAUCUUUGUCUUAUGUCAUGUACUAUGAUGGUGUAAUAGCUUUAUGGACCCAAUGUGUAACCUUAACAUGUUCGAUCUGUUAUGACGAUGUUUUCCGUUGUGGUGCAUAUUGCGGAUAUCUUUGUCAUGUGAUUGGAUUGGUGAUGUUGUUUUGUAGAAUUGAAUUAUUGUGCCUUUUUCUGUAAAGCUAUUCUCUCGAAUACUUUCAGGCAUGAAUAUAAGUUCUUCUACAGCAAGUCUUGUCAACAUCAAUGCUCACUGACUGUAUCUUUACAGAUGUCUCGUGGCACUCGAGGUGCGGAACAGCGUGCGAACAUGAACCCACCCCCUCCUCGUCCACCACCGAAUCCAGCUGAGCUGAUGCAAAUGAUGGUGGAAAAUCAGAGGAUGCUCACUGAGACCAUCAAUCGGAUGGCGAAUCAGGGUGGUCGUAAUGCACAUGAAGGGCCAGCUCCUAAUCAGUAUAGCAGUUUCAAGGAUUUCAUGGAUACUAAGCCCCCACCUUUCAGAGAGGCUGAAAAACCCCUUCAAGCUGAGGAAUGGCUGAACACGGUGGAACAAAAGUUCCGCUUACUUCGGCUAACUGAGGGUUUGAAGGUGGAGUAUGCAGCUCACCAACUGCAUGGUCCAGCAGGCAUCUGGUGGAAUCAGUAUCAGGAGGCUCUUCCAGCCGACACUGUGCUUGACUGGAAUCUUUUCCAUGAAGCUUUCAAAGGGCAUUUCAUUCCUCCUAGUGUCAUGGAAAUGAAGCAUACCGAGUUUAUGCAGUUGACUCAGGGCAACAAAACUCUGAAGGAGUACUUGCAUGCUUUCAAUCACCUGUCAAGUUAUGCUCCUGAGUUUGUGAACACCGAGAACAAGAAGAUUGCUAGCUUCAAGCGGGGUCUUGGCCCCAAAUUGCUGAAGACUAUGGGCCGCACUAUGUGUGCAACUUUCAAUGAGUUUGUCAGUGAUGCUCUUAUCCAAGAGAACUACAACACUGUGUACACUACGACUAAGACUCGCAAGAGGGCUUUUGAGGCCGGGGCAGGGGCAUCUCAGUCCAAGGCUCCAGUGGCAGCUAGGCCACCGAUCCGUGCUCCAACGCCUAACCAGCGGUAUCGCCCGCCUGUAUAGAAGAAUCAGGCGAAGACAGGUUUCCGCAAGGGUUACUCUAUUGCUCUCCCCAGAGGCAACACGGGUCCCAACUAUGCCAAGACUCCACCUGCCAAUCGUCCGUGUUGGAACUGCAAUCAGACCGGGCACUGGCAGAGCAAUUGUCCCUACCCGCCAAAGAAGGUCAACCAAGGGAACGUCCGCCAGGGGCGUGUUCACUACACAACUGUGGAGGCAAUCCCUACUGGUGAGGUAGUUACAGCUGGUAAGUUUAUGGUUAAUCAAUGUGAUGCACUUGUGCUUUUUGAUUCAGGAGCAUCGCAUUCUUUUGUGAGUUCAGACUUUGUGUCUAAGCAUAAUCUCAAGGCAUGUACACUUGAUAAGGGUAGUUAUUGCAUUAGUGCUGCUGGGAAUGAUAUUUCUACCAAUCAAGUGGUUUAUGGGGCAACUCUGGAAAUUGGAGGCCGUCAGUUUCAUGCUGACCUGGUGCUUUUACCCGGUGUGGGUAUAGAUGUAAUUCUGGGUAUGAAUUGGAUGAGUGGUAACGGAGUUCUUAUCGACACCACCACUCAUGUAGUGAUGUUGAGAGACCCAAAUACCAGGGAAGCGUUCUUAGAGCAACUUCCUCGAGAUAUCCAUAUCCAUAACACUGUGAAUGCAGUUACAGCUAAGGCCAUCCAGGAUAUUCCGGUGGUGUGUGAGUUCCCAGAUGUAUUUCCUGAUGAUUUACCCGGGCUUCCUCCAGAUCGGGAUGUGGAGUUCAAAAUUGAAUUGAUUCCAGGUACCGCUCCUAUCUCUAGAAGACCUUAUAGAAUGCCACCAAAUGAGCUAGCUGAGCUUAAGACCCAGUUAAAUGAGUUGUUGAAGAAGGGUCUUAUCCAUCCUAGUUCUUCUCCUUGGGGUUGUCCGGCUAUCUUUGUGAAGAAGGAUCAAUCCUUGCGCAUGUGUGUGGACUAUCGUCCCUUGAAUGUGGUGACCAACAAGAAUAAAUACCCUCUUCCUCGCAUUGAUAUCUUGUUUGAUCAGUUGUCUAAAGCUAAGGUAUUCUCCAGGAUUGAUUUGCGAUCUGGGUAUCAUCAGAUCAAGAUCCGUCCUAAAGAUGUGCCUAAGACAGCUUUCUCGACGAGGUAUGGGUUGUAUGAGUAUCUCGUCAUGUCCUUUGAUCUUACGAAUGCACCUGCUCACUUCAUGUACCUCAUGAACUCGGUGUUCAUGCCCGAAUUGGACAAGUUUGUGGUGGUCUUCAUUGAUGAUAUCCUAGUAUAUUCUUGCAAUGAAGAGGAGCAUGCCGAGCAUCUGCGUGUAGUGUUGUCGCGUUUGCGUGAGCAUCAGCUUUAUGCCAAGUUCAGCAAAUUCGAGUUUUGGCUAAAGAAAGUACCUUUCUUGGGCCAUGUCUUAUCUGAAGAAGGCAUAUCGGUGGAUCCGGCUAAGGUGCAAGAAGUGCUGGAUUGGAAGGUUCCAACUUCGGUACACGAGGUUCGUAGUUUUCUCGGUCUUGCUGGGUAUUAUCGUCGAUUCAUUCCAGAAUUUUCAAAAAUAUCCAAGCCUAUGACUCGUCUACUUCAGAAAGAUGAGAAGUUUGUGUGGACGCCUGAGUGUGAAGAGGCAUUCCAUAAGUUGAGGACAUUGCUGACAUCAGCUCCUGUCCUAGCUCAGCCUGAUAUCGAAAAGCCCUUCGAUGUCUUUUGUGACGCAGCGGGUAUUGGUUUAGGCUGCGUGUUGAUGCAAGAAGGUCGCGUUAUCGUGUAUGCCUCGCGCCAACUUCGAAAGCAUGAGGUCAAUUACCCUACCCAUGACUUAGAAUUGGCGGCAGUUGUUCAUGCUUUGAAAAUCUGGAGGCACUAUUUGCUGGGUAAUCUGUGCAAUAUUUACACUAAUCAUAAGAGCCUCAAGUACAUCUUCACCCAACCUGAAUUGUACAUGCGGCAGCGAAGGUGGCUUGAGUUGAUUAAAGACUAUAAUCUACAAGUGCACUAUCAUCCGGGCAACGCAAACAUGGUUGCGGAUGCCUUGAGUCGGAAUGCGCACUAUCACUCAGUUCAGGUGGAAGAUCCGUUGUUGUCACAUCUUAUGCAUCCACUUGUGCUCAACCACAUUUCUCUGGAGAGUACUCUUCGCAAUCGAGUCAUUGAAUUGCAGCAAACAGAUGUAGGCAUCCACCAUAUAAAAAGGAAGAUGAAAGAAGAAGAAACCAAGCAUUUCCGGGUCGAUGAGAACGGAAUCCUUUGGUUCAAAGAUCGACUCGUGGUCCCAAAAGACCGUGAGCUACGAAAUCAGAUCUUAUCUAAAGCUCAUUCAUCUAAAUUGUCUAUCCAUCCUGGUAGUAGCAAGAUGUAUCAGGAUCUGAAACCUCUGUUUUGGUGGACAAAGAUGAAAAAGGAAAUUGCUGCUUUUGUCGCUCGUUGUGACAAUUGUUGUCGUGUGAAGGCCGUUCACAUGAAAGCUGGUUUGCUUCAACCCUUGUCAAUUCCUGGAUGGAAAUGGAAAGAAGUCAGCAUGGAUUUCAUCGUUGGACUUCCAACUUCUGUUAAGGGUUACGACUCUAUCUGGGUGAUUGUAGAUCGUUUGACCAAGUUGCUCGAUUUAUUCCAGUUCGAACUGACUAUCGUCCACAUCAAUAUGCGGAAUUGUACUUCGAGCACAUUGUCCGUCAGUAUGGUGUGCCUCGAACUAUCAUAUCAGAUCGUGGACCAUAGUUCACUGCUCGUUUUUGGGAGUGUCUGCAUGAGCAGAUUGGUACUCACUUAGUCCGUAGCUCAGCAUAUCAUCCCUAAACAGCAGGUCAAACUGAACGUGUUAACCAAAUCCUAGAAGACAUGCUGAGGGCAUGUGCUCUCUCUUCAAAGGGUUCUUGGGUUAAGUGGUUGCCAUUAGCUGAGUUCUCCUACAACAAUAGUUAUCAGGAGAGUAUCAAGAUGGCUCCAUUUGAAGCCUUGUAUGGUCGAAAGUGUCGAACCCCGUUGAAUUGGGUGGAAUUCGGGGAGCGAAGGUAUUAUGCCAUCGAUUUUAUGAACGAGGCGGAGCAGCAAGUCCGUACCAUCCAGCAACAUCUGGAAGCUGCUCAAGCUCGUCAGAAAAGUUAUGCUGACAAAAGAAGGAAGCCGAUUGAGUUUGCGGUCGGUGACCAUGUGUAUCUCAAGGUGUCUCCGAUGAAGGGUGUACAAAGGUUCAGAGUCAAGCGAAAGCUUGCACCUCGUUAUGUGGGACCUUAUUGGAUUCUCGAAAGGAAAGGGGAUGUGGCGUACAAAGUUCGACUACCAGUUGAGCUUCGAGCUAUUUUCCUUAUCUUCCACGUAUCACAAUUGAAGAAGUGCCUUCGUGUUCCGGAGGAAAGAGUGGAAGUUCGGGAUAUCAAGUUGAAGUCAGACUUGGUGUAUGAAGAAAACCUGUAGCGGUUCUUGACCGCAAGGAACGGGUGACUUGUAACCGUGUGGUUAAGCUCUACAAGGUGUUGUGGAGUAACCACGGGGAGGAAGAUGCCACUUGGGAGAUGGAGGAUUAUUUAAAAGAAGUUUACAAAACAUUCUUCGAAAAUCAGUAAGCUUUCAAAUCUCGGGACGAGAUUUUUGUAAGGGGGGAGGGCUGUAACACCCCAGUGUUAUGGUUGCAUAAAUCACAUGCAUAACAUAAGCAUCAUCAUCUACUCAAGCAUAUCAUGAUCAUCAUCUACCUUGAGUCAUACCUUUCUAUGCAAAAAUGUGAUUUAAAUUGUUUAAAUAGUCUUCCUAUGCUUAUGUAUGUGUGAACCAUGCUUGUGUUUGUGUGCUAUGCCUUGUUAAAUAGUUUAUCUCUGCUUAACUCAACCUAGGGAACAGUGUUCAUGUUGAUCACUUCUCCAAAAAAUCACUUAAGUCAUACUUACACAAAUAGGCCCUAGAAAGCUCUUUUGCUUAGGCUUUUAAAAAGUGUUUCAUAAAAUAUUUGCAUGUCAAAACUUUCUACAGCAAAGUUGUCACAAAUUGUAUAAGGAACAAAAGUUGUUUUAUGUCUAUCUCAGGAAAAUGAUCGCAUCUAGCUCAAAAGUGACCCACAAAGCAGAUUUGGGGCUGUUUCCAAUACUUAGAAAAUUUUCUAAGUCUUGAAUCGCAGCAGUUUGCUCGAGGGUGUGUUGUUCAUCUUCCAGUUUGAAUUCUAGCCCGAAUUAGACUCUGAUCUUGUAAGCAAUGUUGGAGUACUCAUGUAGCUCUCCAGCAUAGAGCAAUUAGCCAGCAAAAUCAUCGAAUGGAUUAGGAGUUAAUCACCGUGCAAAAUCGGGUUUCAGUCGGGUUUGGGAACUGAAUGAGGUCGCCGUCAGACAGGGGAGCUCGCCGGUGACGCCGCGUGUCUGGACCCGUGGCGUCCGUACGUCGCUGUUGGUCCCGCUCGUCAGUCCCCAGCGCGUCCUACAGCUCGCCACGGUGCUCCCGGUCGCGUGGACAGCGCCAUUCGACUCCCAGCUCUCUCUCUCUCUCUCACGUGCGCCUUCUUCUCCGCGUCGACGCCGUUGCUUCGGCGAGCUCGCGCGCGCGUGUCUCCGUGUCUCCAGCCGAGCGACUCCGUCCAUCGCUCCGCCAGCUUCCCCGCGACCCCGUCGUCGAGUUGGCUGCAGCUGCCGAGCCUCGGUAAGCCCGCAUUGCCUUCUCCGUCGCGAGCUUACCUCGCCAGAGCUCCACCAUGGUCACCGGCGUCGUGGGCAGGGCUCUGUAGUCCACCAUUCUUCCUCAUUCUUGUCCCAAAAGCUCUGCUAGGUCUAGCUGAUGCUCGUCCGCAUUCUCUUCCGCUCUGUCUCCGGCCAGAUACGCCGUCGGUCGGCCGCACACGACCGCCGUGCCGCCAUUCGUGAGGGCAAGGUACCUAGGGUCCAGUAGAGUUAGGGUUUCGAGUACCGCUCGAUGCGGAAUGGAGUGGGGAGCACGAUGGUGCUCUUGGCCAUCGCUGAGACCUCGCCGUCGACGAGAUCUCCGGCAGUCAAGUCGCGCCUCUGCUCUCGGGUCGCUGACAUGUGGGGUUGGUUGACUCGUGGGGUCCCUCUGUCAGCCUCUCUUUCCCCUUUGUUUGAUUUAGGGUUUGAGCUGUUUUUCCAAAAAUCAGAUCUCUGGUUCUGGUGAUCCAAAAAUUGUGAAAUCAAUUUUGUGGUAUUCCUUGAGAUGGCUAGUUUUUAAUAAAAAUAUAAAAUGAACCUUGUUUUCUGGGAAAAAUAUUUAUUAGGAUUUAAUCUUGUUAUUCAUGAGUAAAUUUUUAUCUCUUGUUAUACUGAUUGUUUUGCUAUGAAAAUUUUAUGGUAGCCUCUGUGUGAUACUAGGAUACUAUGUGUCGGUGUUUUCCCCACGGGGGGUCACACCAACGAGUAAAUUUGUAUGCGUGCUCCCUUUCCCAGAUGGUGAUGCAAGAAGACACUGAGAUUUAUCCUGGUUCGGGCAAGAGAAGGCCCUACGUCCAGCGGGGGGGGGGGAGAGAGUUUGUAUUAUCUUGCACCUCAGUGCUUGUACAGGGGUGAAUACAAGCGCGGUAUGAAGUGUGGAGCUCUACUACGUAUGAGCAUGUUCCUGUCUUCUAUUCCGAGUCCUCCCUUUUAUAGUUCCAAGGAGAGACCCAGGGUACAUGUAUAGGUGUCAGAAUAGGAGUCGAUAGCAGCAUGGAGCGCUGACCUACUCGAGGCUUCCGUACCGGUAUGGCCUCGAGCCGUCCCGUCUUAGUAGCCUGGUGAUGAUUACGCGUGCCCUUGCAUUCUGCUCUGCGCGCCGUCCUGGAUUGGUUCGACGGAUGUACGCUCGUACGUCCUGGCGGCAAAUCCGGUGGAGUGGUUGGGAUGUAGCCAGUCGACACCCGACUCGUCCCCUGGAAGGGUCCUUGCCUGGUCGAGGGUCGGAUGUCGUAUGACGUCCUGAUGUUGAAGCGCUGACCUUGGCUAUCUCGAGGGGGUCUUGAUUAGACGCACCAUCUCUGUUUCCGACGUCCUGACACGCUCUGGGCUGUUUGGUGGGGAAGGCUGCAAAAAGAUCGAUGGGACGGAUGCCUGUUCCCUUUCACGCCUCCCGUGACCCAUGUGUUAGGUGGGGAAGCACCAGGCGCAUUUAAUGCCCCGGCUCGCGUGCGCGCGUUAGGCGGCGGCGGCGUCCUUGCGCUCGACGCCUCCCGAUUCGCGUGAGCCUGUUCCGUAUUCGACGAUAACCAGAGCUCGACGCCUGAUAGAUUCGCUCGACGCUAUAUCCGUCUUCGAGGCUACGACCGUCGAUGGUUGCGCGUAUGUAUGGACGGAGCGUCGAAUCGAAGAUCUAGUCUUAUGUACGGAUGGUCUCGUUAUAUGUAUUGGUGAGGGUACCCCUUGUUGAUACCCUCGACAGUAGCCCCCGAGUCUCCAUUUGAGCGCUGGCGCUCGAGUGGAGACUCUUGUUUUUACAGUCGAGGUUCCGUGGGGGCGCGCGAGCGACCCCGCGGGGGUAGCCCCCGAGCCCUCGAGGGAGUAUUUAACUCCUUCGAGGGUUAUUUUGCCUAAUUUGCAUAGACACUGUCGACACCAGUGGUGGAAGGUUCUGAUCGGCUUUGCCUUGCGAGGAGGUUUCGACGUACUCUCGAUAGAGCGAGCGUCUUCCACUCCAGAUCGAGUUCCUAGCGGGUAGUCCAAGUGAGAACCUGUGCCCCUUUCGAGGGGCUCAGCUGUAGCCCGGAGGCGUUCACAUAAAGCUGGGUCGACGUGGUCGGGGAUACCGGUCUCAUUCGAUAGAGUCCAGCGGCUCGGUGCCUCCCGUCAGGGGGAUUCCUCUCGACUGUCUCGACCCUGCCUUGGACAUCGCCAGCGAGUUUUCGAGGCAGGCCUCGAUCUUCGACCGCUCGCUGGAGAUCCAUGACUCUGGUGCUCGAGAUCGGCUGUCGAACCCUUUCGGCGGGCCAGCCAUCGACCUCUCGAGAAUCUCGCGGGUACGCCCCUUGGCUUACAAGGGAAGGAAGUGGCCAUGACGGUUCGCCUUUCUGCCCGUGGGGCGCGUCUUUUUAGGCGGGUGACGUUAUGACACUGUAUCGGCGUGGAAUUCGGAACGCCCGGCCUGUGAAGGGGGAAAGACUGUUAGGUAGCGCAUUAAUGGGGGGACGUUACCUCAUUUCCCGGAUCUGUCCGUUGGUGGAUUGCGGCCUAUAAAUACGUCGUGGCGCCGCCGCCGUUCCUCUUCCUUCCGCCUUCUCGCUUCCAUUCUCUCGUUGCCUUAGCUCUCUCGCCGUCUUACGCGCACACGCUUCCUCAUGCAAUAGUCGAUCCACCACCUCUCCGGCCAAGAUGCCUGUAAGACUCAUCGCCGCCGACGACUGGCGCCCGUCGUCGAUGACGGAGCGCCUGUUGUUAGAGCUUGAGAAAGAGGGAUUGCUGCGCCACCGUACCUCACUGUCGUCGCCAGAGUGGAUCGCGCCGCCGGCGAGUCACAGGGAGCCCCAGCCGCCCGAGGGCUACGUGGUAUCGUUUGCCAAGUUCCACCGCCAUGGCCUGGGUGCUCCCCCGAGUCGCUUCAUGUGGGCCCUCUGCUUCCACUACGGGGUGGAGCUCCAGCACUUCUCCCUGAACGCCAUCACCGUCGCGGCGGUCUUCGCUGCCGUGUGUGAGGGCUACUUGGGGAUGAUGCCGCACUGGGAGCUGUGGCUCCAUCUCUACAGGGGCGAGCUCUUCAACGCCCCCACUGGGACCACCGGCGUGAGGAAACCUGUGCGGGCAGGUUGCCUCAAUCUCGUGCUGAAGACGGGGAAGUCGGAGAGGCCGCGCGAGUACAUCCUGGUGCGACUGUCGACUAACCACGCCGGCUGGGACUCCCAAUGGUUCUACCUGAGGAACGACGACGAUCUGCUGCCUGCCUAUACCGGGCGCUUGAUCACGGAGCGACCGGAGAAUUGGACGUACGGCGUCGUCCAAGCUCACCAAUCUCGGCUCGACCCCCUCCUCGACGUCAUGAAGAAGCUGCGUUCGGAGGGCUUGACCGCCGCCCUCGUUCUCUCGGCCGUUCAUCACCGGAGAGUUCUCCCUUUGAUGUCUCGGCCGUUGAGGAUGGAUGAGAUGGGCCCCGGCGUUCCAUCUCGGGACCUCGAGGCGUGCCGGAUGUCUAACGAGGCUCCGGCGGAUGACGAAGUUGCGGCCCGAGUCAGGGCUGCAAUUGCCGGUGAUUUUCAGCCGGAGCAUGUUAACGGCUUCCCCAUGAGGCCAGAUGCCGGCUCGAUCGAUCUGGUAUGUUUUCUUGCGCGCAACCUCGAUUCCGGGUUCCUUUUCUUCCCCUCUCCUUUUCUUUUCUAAGUCUGCAUUCAUUUUGACAGGGACAGAUCGACGUCCGGUCCUCGAGGCCCCCGGUAAAGGAGGACGGGGUCGAUCGUGAUAAACGGCGCCAAUCCGCCGAAAAGCUAAAGUCCGCCAAGGACUCUGCCAAGAAGGGGGAGAAGAAGAAGAACCUCGACCGUCAAGCGUUAGAGGCGCGUCGGGCCAAAUCCAGGCAGAGGGGGGAGCCUGAGGAAGAAUCCCCCAACGAUGAUGAUGAUGAUAACGACGACAGCGAUGAUUCCGAGGGGAUGGCGUCACGUCUCGACCGGAUCCUCGAGGGCCCGUCUCGAGGCGACGUCGACGCCCCCCGGACGGAGAUGUCAAGGGAGGGUCCGAGUGGAUCUCAUCGCCCCCGGGCCGACACACCUCCUGCGUCCAAAACGGGUCGAGACGCACCGCGCCCUCCCCCGGCGCCCAGAGAGUGCGGUCAGGCUAGGCCCCAGGCGAAGGGGCCACUGACUCGCGGUCGCGCCGUGGCCUCCGAGAAAGGAGAGGCCGGCCGCAGGAGCGCCAGUCCCGGUGCCUGUCAGGCGAGAACCGACGCGCCUAGGCUGGUGCCUGCCCUCGAGGGACCUGGAGCCCUGACGCGGGGUGGCUCGAGGCCCGCUAGUCGGGGCGGCGGGAGGCGAGCUGUUCUCCCUGUGGGGUAAGCCCUUUCGAUGCUGUGGCUUCUGUUUUUCUGUCCCUCUGCCGAUCUUUUCUCAUAUACCGAUCUUUUCUCAGGCUAAAGCGGACCCUCGAGCAGGCCCAGCCGUCCAUGGCAAAGAGGCUCAAAACGGGCGCCGCCUCUAAGGAACCAGGUUCGUAGUUUAUUUUUGGGCCUUGCGAUGUUUUUGUGUCGGUUAUUAUAACGUCUGACCUUUUUACCCUUUGUUUUGUAGGCUCCUCCAGUUCCCGAUCUCUAGCCGGCGUUGAGAGGGCUCCGUCUCGUCCCGCUCCUACUCCGUCGCCGCCGACUUGCGAUGAGGCGCCCCAGACGCAAGCGUCAGAGGGAGCCCCCGAGCCCCCUAGAUUGGGGGUCGAGGGGGAACCCAUUACCAUCAACGAUACGUCUGAUGGUAACGAAGCUUCUGGGGGUGCCCGCCCUAUGGAGGAGGAAACGUCGACCCCUCACGUCGCGGGGUCGACUCCCUGGCCCGCCGGCCUCCGCACCCUCGAGGAGCAGAAGAAGAAGAGGGAGGAGGAUGAACAGCGGGAGCGCGAGGCGGCGUGGCAACCGCAGGAGCAUGAGGCGCAACAAUAGCAACAGCAGCAGCGACAGCAACAGCAGCAGCAGCAGCAGGAGCAACAGCAGCAGCAGCAGGAGCAGCAGCAACAGCAGCAGGAGCAACAGCAGCAGCAGGAGCAACAGCAGCAGGAGCAAUAGCAGCAGCAGCAGCAGGGGGGGCCAAGAGGAGGGACUGCUCGAUCCCCCGCCCCAAGGUCCGGCCUAGCCGGUGCCGCCGGAGCCGCAAGAGCCUGGUGAGCAAGAAGAGGAUCUGCCAGUGUACGGCCCCCCGACCCCAGCGUGGCUCCUCCCGGGGGCACCUGCCGCGAUCCGGGCAGAGCCGGGGCGAGCGGAUGGAGUGGUGGCGCUCGCCUGCAUGAUGUGCACUCCCACCGACCCCGAGUCCGAGAUCAAGAGGACGAUCUACGGCAUGGACGGUAUCGCCCCAGGGUUCCUCCGGGAGCGUUGGGCAUGGGAGGACCACUUUCCUUCUGAGGAGGAUGAGAUCGGGAUAUCGGGGACCAAGGACGGUACCUGGAAGACGGUGGACGAUGACGGGCGGUUCCCAUGCCUCGUCGACCUGUUCCUGCGCCAUGGGGGGUCCCUCGAGACCGUCGAGGAUCUCAUCCGCGGCGUAAAGGCGCGGGCCGACCGGGAGAUGGAGCAUUGGUGCCCUGAACGAAUCCGCAUCCGGGCCUCCCACGACCCGUCCGAGCCUAACAUCUUCCUGGACGAUCGGAAGGAGGCAGAGAAGUGGGAACACGUCGAGGAGCUCCGCCUUUGGAUGAAGCAUGUGGUGGGGCUCCUCGCAGACGUUAUCAACAACGGGCUCGGCCCGGCCUAUUUCGUAAGUGCUUUUCGAUCUUCACUCCUCGUGGAAUCUUUCGGUUUUGUGUGCUCUAACCGCUCGACCCCUGGUUCGCAGGAUAUGAAAGAUACCUCCCGCAUCAAGUCUAGUUUCAUUCACGCCACGAGAGGCGGCUGGGAGCAGCUCCCCCUCCUUAAGGAUCAACUCCUCGAGUCGUAGGAGAAGCUCCUUAAAGCCUACCAAGACCUCAUAGCGCUCGAGGAGGAGAAGAAAGCAAGGGAAGCUGCCUUGGCCGAGGCUCGAGAGGCCUCAAGGAGGGCGGAGGAGGAGACGACGCUGCUGCGGGAGAGGGCUCUGACGGUCGAGGACGCCGCGUCCAGAGCCCAGGAGGAGGCCCUGUCCUGUAAGAGCGUUAUUGCGGAUCUGGACAAGGAGAAGGACCUCCUUAAAUCCGACCUGGACUCUCUCCGAGAGUCCUUCCAAAAGAUGAAGGUGGAGCACGUGAACGGCGAGGUCGCCAGGGGCGCCGCGGAGGAAGCCAAGAAGAAGGCCCUCGAAGAUCUCGAGGCGGAGCGGGCUCGAUCCCGCAGUCUUUCUAACGACGUAGAGCAUCUGAAGGGAGAAUUGCUGGAGAAGAGUGGGGCCAUUGCUCAGGCUGGCAAGGCGAUCGAGGAUCUCCACGUUGCCAAUACUGAGCUGGCGCGCUCCAACAGAGAGAUCGAGAGGGCUAACACCAGGCUGGUCGGCGAGAACACGGCCCUAGAGGAGACCGUACGCGGUACGUUUCCUCUAUCAGGUUUCUUUUUUCGCGGUGUGCUUGGUUUUUCCUAAGGUUUCUUGUAUUGGCCUUUACAGGGCUCAAGGGCGAACUCCUGGCCGCCCAAACCGAGGCUCGCAACGCCAAGGCUCAGCUCGAGGCGGAGGUUGCUUUGAACCGUCGAGUGCGGACGGCCAUAAGUGAUCUCUCGACCUCUUGGGAGGUCGAGCCUAUGGAUGAGUCGAGGGAGGGCGCUCGAGGCGACGCCCUGGUCGACCAGCUGUGCUACAUAGGCGCGACGCUGCGAGAUCGGGUGCGGGAUGCUCUCCACAUCGGGGUGAAGCGGGCGAUGGCGGUUGUCUGCUCGGGCUUCUCCUACGACAUGGAGGUGGUGUCUCAUGGCUUCGUCACCGACAUCUCCAAGACCGACGCAGAGAACGAGGAGAGGCUCCACGCCCUGAUCGACGACGCGGAGGCUCCUGGGGAAAGGUUGGCUAAGCUUUUUGAGCCUGAGGUGCUCCCUCCUGAGGCUAGCUCGGGCGGAGGUGAGGGCGGUGAGGAUCGCGCCGCGGACUGAGGCCUGCGAGCCUGCUCAGGGCGUCUAGGGCCCCUUGUAUGAUACUUUGUUAAUUCUAUUGCUAAGUGAUACAGUAUCUUUUUGUAAUCGUUAAAUGCUCAUUUGUCUUUCCGCUCGAGGUUCUUUUAUUUCUCUUUGUUCCUACGUUCAUAUCCCUUGCUCGAUUCUUUCGUAGAAAACCACCUCGACCACCUCAAUGGUAGGGAAGUGAGUAGAAUUUCCGUAGCCCGGGGGCGUAGGAGUUCUCUAACUCGUUGUCCCUCGGCCUUUGAGGGGUUUGAGGCGCCUUAGCUACUCGAACCGUGCAAGGUUUAUUAAGUAAGAAAAGAGAACUUCUUGGUUUUUUCGACGCUUGGGGGGCGGUCGUCCCCCUGGUAGCCCCCGAGGGGGUGUUGGCUAUGAUGGGUCAUAGACGGCGCCCCCUUCUAACAUCGAGAUCGUGACUUGUGAAUCUUUUGGUGCAAAAAGAAGUUGCUCUAGGGAAAGACUUUAUUUAUUCAUGCAUUCGUUUACAAAGUCUCGGUACAAAAUGUACGUAAGAACGUAAGUUUAGAACUUCUAGGGGUAGAAUCGACGUAGCUGUUCGAUGUUCCAUGCGUUGGUGAAGACCGCCCCCUUCUGGUCCGCCAACUUGUACGUUCCCGGCUUAAGGACCUCGGCCAUCACAUACGGGCCUUCCCAAGGUGGAGUCAGCUUGUGGCGUCCUUGAUUGCUUUGCCGGCGUCGUAGGACAAGGUCGCCUACGUUGAGGUCCCUCUUGCGCACGUGCUUGUCGUGGUAGCGUCGAAGUUUCUGCUGAUAUCUGGCAGAGUUGAGGAGGGCCAUGUCUCGAGCCUCCUCGAGUUGGUCGACCGCGUUUUCUUGAGUCUCUUUGUUUGAUUGCUCGUUGUAAGCCUUGAGUCGAGGUGAUCCAUACUCGAGGUCUGUGGGGAGGAUAGCCUCAGAGCUGUAGACCAUGAAGAACGGGGUGUAUUUUGUGGCCCUGCUUGGUGUUGUCCUAAGGCUCCAUAGGACUGAGGAAAGCUCCUCGACCCAUUUCUUGCCGAAUUUCUUCAACCGAUUGUAGAUCCUUGGCUCGAGUCCUUGCAAAAUCAUGCCAUUGGCACGCUCGACCUGGCCGUUAGUUCGAGGGUGGGCUACUGCAGACCAGUUCACACGGAUGUGAUGCUGAUCGCAGAAGUCCAAGAACUUUUUGCCGGUGAACUGGGUGCCGUUGUCGGUGAUGAUGACGUUGGGGAUCCCAAACCAAUGGAUGAUGUCGGUGAAGAAAAGGAUGGCCUGCUCGGAGCGGAUGUUGGUGAUGGGUCGAGCCUCGAUCCAUUUGGAGAACUUGUCAAUGGCCACCAGCAAAUGGGUGUAUCCUCCUUUCGCCUUUUGUAGAGGUCCUACUAAAUCGAGCCCCCACACCGCAAACGGCCAGGUGAUGGGGAUCAUCUGAAGAGCGUGGGCGGGCAGAUGCGUCUGCUUGGCGUAGAACUGGCACCCAUGACACGAGCGUACGAGCUCGAUGGCGUCCGCCACGGCCGUUGGCCAGUAGAAGCCUUGUCGAAAAGCGUUCCCUACAAGGGUCCGCGGAGCGGCGUGGUGGCCGCAAGCCCCCGAGUGCAGGUCCUCGAGGAGUUUUCGGCCUUCUUCCACGGUGAUGCAACGUUGUAAGACCCCCGUUGGGCUCCGUCGAUAUAGCUCAUUGUCUUCGCCAUAGAUCACAUAUGUCUUGGCCCGUCGAGCGAUACGACGGGCCUCUGACCGAUCUUCUGGCAACUCGCCGCGGAUUAGGCAGUCGAGGAAUGGCGUGCGCCAGUCGAACGGUCGACCUGGCCGUCGUUCUAUCUCCAUCACCUCUGCCACCAUCAAGAGCGUAUCGACAGCAUUGGUUGGUUGGGCGGGAGCGGCGUCGACGCCAGCCCCCGUGCCUAGGUCGACGGAUGGCUCGUGAAGAUCUCUUGAGAAUGCAUUAGGCGGCACCGUGCCUCUGGUCGAUGCAAUCUUGGCGAGUUCGUCGGCUGCCUCGUUGUAGCGUCGAGCGAUAUGGACAAGCUCGAGACCGUGGAAUCUGUCCUCGAGUCGACGGACUUCUUUGCAGUACGCUUCCAUUUUCGGGUCGUGGCAGCUCGAGGUUUUCAUUACUUGGUCGAUGACGAGUUGGGAGUCGCCUCGGACGUCGAGGCGUCGAACUCCUAACUCGAUGGCAAUCUUGAGACCAUUGACGAGGGCCUCGUAUUCUGCGACAUUGUUAGACACGGCAAAAUGAAUCCUGAUUACAUACCUCAUGUGGACUCCUAAGGGUGAGACGAACAGCAGGCCGGCUCCGGCUCCUGUUUUCAGGAGUGACCCAUCAAAAUACAUCGUCCACAGCUCCGCCUGGACCUGAGUCGGUGGAAGCUGGCAGUCCGUCCAUUCUGCGACGAAGUCUACCAGGGCCUGCGAUUUAAUGGCCUUGCGAGGCGCAUAAGUGAGAGUCUCACUCAUGAGCUCGACCGACCAUUUUGCUAUUCUUCCCGUGGCCUCUUUGCUCUGGAUUAUUUCGCCUAAAGGGAAAGACGAGACCACCGUGAUGGGGUGGCCGAGGAAGUAGUGUUGCAGCUUACGGCGGGCAAGGAUUACGGCAUAGAUCAGCUUCUGGAUUUGGGGAUAACGUGCUUUGGUCUCCGAAAGCACCUCGCUGACGAAGUAUACUGGCCUCUGAACUGGUAACGCAUGUCCCUCCUCCUGCCUUUCGACCACUACCGCCGCGCUGACGACUUGGGUCGUUGAUGCGACGUAGAGGAGCAGCGGCUCUGCAGGAUGAGGUGGGACCAGGACGGGUGCCGAGGUCAGCGUCUUCUUCAGCCUUUCGAGCGCUUCCUCGGCCUCGGGGGUCCAAGAAAAGCGCUCGACCUUCUUCAGGAGUCGAUACAAUGGUAACGCCUUUUCUCCUAGUCUCGAGAUGAAACGGCUCAGAGCCGCCAGGCACCCCGUGACUCUCUGCACACCCUUGAUGUCUCGGAUCGGCCCCAUUCUCGUGAUGGCCGAGACUUUCUCAGGGUUGGCCUCGUUGCCGCGCUGCAAAACGAUGUACCCUAGGAGCAUGCCUCGAGGCACACCGAAAACGCACUUCUCAGGAUUGAGCUUGAUCUGGUUGGCGCGUAGACAGCUAAAAGCGAUCUCGAGGUCCUGGAUUAGGUCCCCUCGACGCCUUGUCUUGACGACGAUGUCAUCGACAUAGGCUUCGACCGUCGACCCUAUAUGUUUACCAAAUACAUGGAGCAUGCAGCGUUGGUACGUAGCUCCCGCGUUUCGAAGCCCAAACGGCAUGGUCACAUAGCAAUACAUCCCAAAAGGUGUGAUGAAAGAGGUCGCGAGCUGAUCGGACUCCUUCAUUUUUAUUUGGUGGUAACCAGAAUAUGCAUCAAGGAAAGAAAGGGUUUCACAUCCCGCGGUAGAAUCGACAAUCUGAUCAAUACGUGGCAAUGGAAAAGGAACUUUUGGACAUGCUUUAUUUAGACUAGUAUAAUCGACACACAUCCUCAUUUUCCCAUUCUUUUUCUUAACUAACACAGGGUUUGCUAACCAGUCGGGAUGAUGAACCUCCUUGAUGAAUCCGGCCGUCAAAAGCUUGUGGACUUCCUCGCCAAUGAUCUUGCGCUUCUCCUCGUCGAAUCGGCGCAACCGCUGCUUCACUGGCUUGGAACCGGCUCGAAUCUCCAAGGAGUGCUCGGCGACUUCCCUCGGUAUGCCUGGCAUGUCUGAGGGACUCCAUGCAAACAUGUCGGCAUUUGCACGGAGAAAGUCGACGAGCACAGCUUCCUAUUUGGGGUCGAGGUCGGUGCUGACCGUCAGCACUUUGCCGUCAGUGUUGUUGGGGUCGAGCGGGAUCUUCUUGGUUCCUUCUGCCGCCUCGAAGCUGCCCGCGUGGCGCUUAGGCUCUGGAGCCUCAGCGGCCAGUGCCUCGAGCUUCGCGACUAGCUCGGUGGAGCUCUCGACCGCCUCCCCGUACUCGACGCACUCGACGUCGCACUCGUACGCGUGCUCGAAGGAGGAACUGACAGUGAUGACGCCUUUGGGACCGGGCAUCUUCAGCUUCAAGUAGGUGUAGUUGGGUAUAGCCAUGAACUUGGCGUAGCCCGGGCGUCCGAUGAUGGCGUGGUACGUGCCUCGGAACCCAACCACCUCAAAGGUGAGGGUCUCCUUCCUGAAGUUGGCCGCCGUGCCGAAGCAGACCGGUAAGUCAAUUCGACCUACUGGCAGUGCCUUUUUCCCUGGCACGACGCCAUGGAAACCGCCGGCGCUUGGUUGGAGUUUUCCUCUAUCUAUGCCGAGGAGGUCGAGGGUCUCGAGGUAGAUGAUGUUGAGGCUGCUGCCACCAUCCAUCAGCACUUUCGAGAGCCGGGUUUUGACGAUGAUGGGGUCGACGACGAGCGGGUAGACGCCGGGGGCGACUACCUUGUCGGGGUGGUCCUUGUUGGGUAUUCUUAACAUCAUUACCAAAAGUAGACUAAGUUCUAAAUCUAGCAACGGUGCCAAAAAUGCCAAACCUAUCCCUCACACCACUUAAGCCAAGUUGUCAUCCCCAGCAUGACAUGAGAGCCGCGGUAUUGAAAUAUACAAUUGCUCUUCUAAAUAAAUAAUGAAUGGGAUCUGCAAGCGCACAGAUUAAUACCGAUGCAGCAUUUUAACCAGGAAGUAUUCCAGGUAUCGUUAUUUAUAUUUUUACCACUGGGAAGGGAUUAGCAAUCAUCACUAUUGAUUACAGAAUAGAAUAUGAGAUUGAGCACCUAUCAUUGCAUGUAUAAUUGAGAACAUUAUAUCUAACUCUUCAUACAGGGAUAAGUGUCACAUAAUAGAUAUAUGAAAUGAUAAUAGUGACAAGGAUAACUAAUCUGAUCUAGCCACAUAAUAAAUAUGAUAAGCACCUCAAUUAGAUACUCUAGAAAGUCAUUAGCAUGGUAUUAGAACGAACUACAAGAAUAUUCCCAAAGUUAUUCUUAACUAUAUAGUCUAGCAUAUCAUAGUUAGUGCAAGCAUACUUAGCAAUCAUUGCGAGACAAGACUACGCCCAUGCAUAGUGAUAUUAGCAAGGAAUAUGAGAAACAUAGCAAUCACUCCCCUGUAAUAAUGCUGCUCUGCCAGCCCAAUACACGAGAGGGGGACUAUAUAAGAAUCAAUGAAGCUGUCACUAUCACGAACUACCCCACGAUCUGGCAUAUUGGGUACAAUCGCAGAUAAAUACGGUAUAAGCACCACGCCUACACAAUAUCUAUCAUUUACCCAUGGAUCCGAUGGAUAAACGCUAUACGAUCCUAAGCAUGUAUAUAGAUCAUAUCUAACUAAGCCAAGUACAUAACUAUGAUAAACUAAGAACAAUAUAAUCUUGAAUAUAAGCAAGUAUAGCAAAGUCAUAAGCAAUAUAUUGAAGUAGAACAAAGUCAUAUUCAUAAUAUUGAAGAACAAAGAUAAUUAGAAAGCAAUUAGAAGCACAAUUAGAGAAUUACCAAGAAUCCUCUUGACAGAUCCGGAAACCAAUCGAAGAUUGACUCCUUCUAGUUCUAAUCCUAUGUAGCUAUGCUAAUCUAGAUAUCUAAUUGAUGUGGUGGCUCUAAUCUUGAUUAGAGGCUUCUUCUCCCUUGAUGGAACAAUGAAUUAGGGUUGAGAGGCUCCCUCCUCCAGGGGCCAGGGGGUCUGGUUUUAUAGUCCCUUCAAGUGAAUAUGGGCCCUUGGAUCAAACCGACAUAGAUUGUAUGGUUUAAAUUCAUCCUUUAGGUCGCUGGAGACUUCCCGCAAAGCAGAGUCCUGAUUGGACUUGGGGGCAGGGCGGGCGCCCAGUUGGACAGGGCGGGCGCCCUGUCUCGGGGCGCCCUGUCUCUGGCCCCGAUUCGCCUCCGCUUCGGUCUCGUGGCUUCUGGAGUCUUCUAGAUGUAAGAUAAUUGCGCAGCACGUUAACAUCUUUACGUAAUCCUGACAUGUGGGCCUUUCUUCCAUAUUUCCCGAUAACUCCCUGCAGAAAUAGACAAACACCAAAACUCAUGGAAUUCUGUCAGAUAAAACCCUAAGUCUAGAUCUUUAUUUCAUUUGGAUCCUUUUCUUUAUUUAUUUGAUAAUUAAAUUUGAUACUUAAGGACCGUCAACAAACUCCCCCAAGCUUACCUCUUGCUCGUCCCUGAGCAAGGAUAGACUCAGCUAUGGAUCAUAAGUAGUUGCAAUAUCUUAAAAAAUUUGACGGUACACAUGCUUUUAAAUAAGAUCUCAUCUCUGAGUUAGAGUAAACUGUCAAGACUUAAAACUUACUUACUUUACCUUCAGCAUGGGACUUGUAACUGUCACUUCUGUCUUGAGUGGUUAAAAGAUAGAACAGUCUAGCCAAGUGCCAUGUCUCUUAUUCUUGAUCAGCUAUAGCUCUUGGAUUUUUGCAGAUUUUCAAAUAAAACUCAGAGAUUCCUUAUAUGAUUCUCUCAGGUCUCUCUUUUGUGGUAUUUUUGGAUCCUUACCAAGGCAUUGAUGGUAUAUGCCUUCUCUCAAGAUAUGUGGUAUUUGGGGUAUAAGGCAUAGUGACAUUGCCUUCUCUCUCAUCCUACUCUAAUAAGGCUUUAAUAUCUGGAGCUCAUAGGUGGGAGAUAAAGUAUACAUACUUACAAGACAUGUAUUGCAUAGUCAAACCAUGGAUCCAAAGUAACAAGUCAAUAAGUUUAAUCAAGAUGUGCAUGUGUGGCGAAUGAAUGGUAUAUGGUGAUGAUGGUGAUAAUAAUGGUGAAAACAAUGGUGAAAACAAUGGUGAAAACAAUGGUGGUGAAAGUCUAAUUCUACUUUGCUCUUUUGAGGGGAUACAUACCUUCCUUGCUUUUGAAACUUUAUGAGGAGAAUGAGAUGCUCUUCUUUUUCUUUUCUCUCAGGUGGGUAUCUUACACCCCCUAAUUCUACUGUCGGACACUUGUCCAUUUUUACCUCUCGUCUCACUUUUUCUUUUCUUUCGAGGUUCCGAGCACUUGCUCCUUUUUAUUUCCUCGCAUUAUUAUUUUUUUCUUCUCUCUUUUUUUUUAGAGCACUCAUCUCUUGAGAUAAUAUAGCAAGUGGUAGUAACAAGAUAACUUGAGCAUUUAUUUCACAAGGGGAACACAGAAAUAUUUUUGGUUAUUCUCUCCCGGAUUAGGAGUAGAAUAUUUUCAGGUGGUUCUGGUGAUGGAAUGGAUGGAUAUAUGUGGAUGGUACUUCCGGAAUAGAAGUAGCAUAUAUGAGUGAACGUGCAAGUGAAAUCUUGAUUUAACCACAUGACAAGCUCCUAAGGGUCUACACAGCUUGACCAUACUCAAUGCUCAUAAGCAGUAAAUAGUAAAUGCGUGGCUCAAAGUCUAGCAAGCAUGUAUAUAUGGCUGUGGUAGGAAUUUUAAGCUCUCAUCAUACAGAAACUCAUCAUGCAACAUUUUAAAGAUUUUCAAAGAUAAAAUUCUCCAGAAUUUUAGCAUCUCUAGGAACAGAUAAACAGCAGCUCAACCUUCCCAUAUCGUAUCCGUUAACAACUUAGACUUCGGAUCAAGUUUUCAUCCCACAAGUUUAGGUCUAGAGCAAGCUUUAAAUUAUAACAGUUAUGUCUAAACUUGAGAGAGAACUUAAAAUGUGCAAAUUAGGCAGAGCAACUAUUCAUCAUAUCCAUGCUUAAGUUUUAUUAGAUACAGAUUAGCAUAGCCACUUUAUUUAUUUAUUAAACACACUAAGUAAUAUAUAUAUAUAUAAGCAUAAAAUCUUUAUUUGGUUUUCCCAUAGUUUAUGUGUAUUAAUAUUCUAAAAUAAUAUAAGUAUAAAGAUAGAUAGAUAGAAAUACUUAUCGAUAUAAAUGGGGGUGCUCUCCCCCAAGCUGAAUUUUGACGUAAUUUCUCUUGAUGUAGCUAGCAGGUGGCAGAGGUGUAUUUGAAAGUCAGCAGCCUUCUGACAGCGAUUAGAAUGUCCUCCUUCUGCUAGUCUUCUUGAUUCUUAAAUUCUGUGGAGCUCAAAUAGACAACAAAGCUUGUGGAACUGAUUAAGUGUUAGCAUAAAUAUAUAGCCUUCAUUAUCUUGAGACUCCUUAAUAAUUGUUACUCCCUGUUUUUAUAUUUUUGUCUUUAUAAAGCAGAAAAAUAUUUAUUUUAUUUUUAUGCCACCACAGUGAAUAUACUUAUGGGUUUUAUGCCACUCGUCUACUCACAUGGGGCUUAUAGUUUCUUCACAUUUUUAUUUUCUUUUUUUAAGAUAGUAUGAACAUGAUUAACUAAGUAAACUAUUUGAAAUAAUUAAAAGGGAAAGGAUAACUACCAAGUUUACCUCUUGGCAAGGCGUUCGGUGUUUUUAAGUCCUCCGAACGGGACUCUCCAAUUUCUUAAUCGUCCUGAGGUUCGUUGGGUGGCGUAGUCGGUACUUCCGGCAGCGCCUCCUCUUCUUGUAUAGUUAUCUUCAUUUUCCAUACCUGACUCGGUGCUUCAAUCUCCUCUGGAUAAUUCUGUUUAAACUCUACGUCUUCUGACCUUACAACUUCUCCUUCAUAGUCUGCCCAUCCGUCCCUGAUGAUCUGCCUCCUCUGGUUGCGGUUGCGUCUCUUUCUGACCUGCUUAGAUUCUUCAACAAUAUAGUUAGGGUCAGUAAAGUAACGGCGUACCUUCUCUGAGGGGAAGUGCAUAUGGACUUCUCCGGUUCCAAUGUAGAUAAUGGCUUUAACGGUGCUGAGGAAUGGUCUUCCAAGGAUGAUGGGUGGAUCAUACUCAUCUUCUCCCAUGUCAACAACUUGAAAGUCUGUGCAGACAAAGUGAUCGUCUAUUUUGACUGGGAUAUCAGAUACUAUUCCUUGAACUUCUCGAAAUGUCUGAUCUGCCAUCUGGAGCUGAAUGUAUGUUGGUCUUAGUGGCAUGGUCCCGAACAAGAGCCGAUAGGUGACUACGGCCAUUAUGUUGACGCCUGAUCCGGUGUCGCAAAUCGUCUUGUAGAAGUUGUAUCCAUUUAUGGAGCAGUAAAUGCUUGGCAUUCCUGGGUCGUCCUUCUUGGUCAAAAACGGUGACUUCAGUUGGUGAUCUUGGCCUCCAUGGACUACAGUGACCAUCUUAGCUGACUCGGUCCACACUUGCUUGUUCCUGUUCCUCCUAUUGGUCCUCUUCCUUGAUUCACGUCUGGAUUGAUUUGGAAUUUGUGUAGUCUUGUUCUUGAAGAAAAAUGUCUCCUUCUUCCCUUUGACAUAGAAACUGAUCUUAGCAGCACUGGCGUAGAUGAUAGCUCCCGUGGUGUUCAAGAAUGGCCUCCCUAGGAUGAUAGGUGCUCUCUCAUCAUUUCCGGUCUCUACCACUACGAAGUCUGCUGGGGCAUACAAGGUACCAACUCGGACACAAAGAUUCCUCACUAUUCCUUUUGGAAAAGUUAUCGUCUGAUCUGCAAACUGCAAACACAUGGUUGUUUCUAAUAAAGGAUAUGUAAAGAAUUUUUCAUAGAGUACCCUGGGUAUAAUGUUGACACUAGAGCCAAAGUCACAG
rnacentral:lncRNA from 1 species